rnacentral:lncRNA from 1 species
UCUACAGAUAGCAUGUAGCUGUAGAGUUCAUCCCAGCUUUCCUUACUAUCUCUUACGCACUUUUCUGUAGACUUAGUGGGUGAGCCGUUGAGGUCGGUGACGGUACCCACUAAGGACUACUGUCACACCCAGGUAUUACCGAUUGUAUAGUAGUCAGACUCUGAUAUCUAAUAUAUUCUUCAAAACUUCAAAAAUAUUUAAUAGACAUCUAAUUGAUCAAAAUAUCGUUAUUAAUUUUUAAUAUAUAUAUAUAUAUAUAUAGAGUAUGGCUAGAAUACUUGUAAAAGUAUCAUGGGGGUGAUACUUGUGUGUUUUUAGCCAUUGGAUGGAGAGAUGUGAGGUUGAGAUGAUGGUGGUAGGUGGUGGUAGGUGGAAUAAUGUUUAAUCCAAGAAUUAUUAAUAAUCAAAAAGUAGAUCCAAUAACUUAAAACCUAAUAGCACCAUGAUGGUGAUACUUGUAAAAGUAUCAUAGCUCAACUCUAUAUAUAUAUAUAUAUAUAUAUAUAUAUAUAUAUAUCUAUAUGCAAGUAAAAAUAUCUUAAAUAUUGUCGCUCCAUAGAUCGCAAUACUUAAUAUUACAUUAUUUUACACAAUCAAAAACCCUACAGAGUGGCAUGGCCGCAGUCACGGGUGGCCGCGCGAUCCUGACUCCGCCGCAGCUGGCGAGCUAUCCGAGCAGCAGAAUGGACCCACGCGGCGCCUCCGCCUCUUCGAGCGCCCCCGAGCUCUACCCCUCCUACCGCCAAACACCCCCCACGUCUACUCGCUCGCUCCUCCACUCCCGUCUCUCCUCCUCCCCUCCCUCUCCCUCUCCCUCCCCUCUCCUCCUCCGCGUCUCUCCUCUCCUCCCCUCCCAUGGUCCGACGACCCCCUUCCUCUCCGCGCCCUCCCCUCACCUCUCCCCCUCCCUCGCCCUCUCCCUCUUCCGCUCCCUCCCCCUCUCCUUCUCCUCCUCCUCCGCACGCUGGACCCUCUCCUUCCACUCCCUCCUCCGCCUCCUCCUCCUCUCCCACCCGCAACCCCAGCACCUCCGCGCCGCCAUGGACGUACUCCUCGAGAGCUCCCGGCGAAGCGACGUCGCGGUCGAGCUCGGCCCCGAAACCCUAGACCUCGUCGUCUCCGCCCUCUGCCGCCGCCUCCGCCGCCCCGACCUCGCCCUCUCCGCCGCCCUCCCCGCCUCCCGCGGCCUCUGCUUCUCCCCCGAUCGCCGCACCUACCGAACCCUAGUUAAAUCCCUCUGCGAUGCGGGCAUGCUCGACGAGGCCACCCAUUUGGUGUACUCCAUGCUCUCCCGCAUCUCCCAGAGGGGUUGCGACGCCGAUGUCGCUGCGUAUCGAGCGCUCCUCGAGGCGCUCUGCGCCGCGGGGCGCGGCGCCGACGCCGAGGCGGUGCUCGGGAAGGUGCUCAAGAAGGGGCUCCGGGCGCCGCGGCGGCGGCGCGCGUUCCGCACGCCGGAACUAGCCGGAAAGAGCCUCGAGGAGGCGAGGAGGGUCAUCGACGAGGCGCUCGUCGUCGGCGGGGUGGAGAGCCUCGCGAGCUACGAGGCAAUGGCGGGGGAUUUGUACGAAGAAGGGAUGUUCGAGCGUGCGGAUAAGGUGUUCGACGAAAUGUGCCAGAGAGGGUUUCGGCCGCCGGUGUCGAUGUACGAUGCUAAGAUCACAGCUUUGUGCGGAGACGGACGGGCCGAUGACGCGGUGAAGGUGUUGGAGGUGGAGAUGGCGGAGAAAAACUGCGUACCGACCGUGAGGACUUAUAAUUUGGUGAUGAAGGGGCUUUGUCAGGAGGGGAAGUCCCUAAAAGCAGUUAGAUAUCUGAAGAGGAUGGACAAACAGGUGGGCUGCGUUGCUAACAAAGAGACAUACGAGAUAUUGGCUAAUGGUUUGUGUUCGGAAGGCCGGUCUCCUGAGGCGGCGCAGGUCCUCGAUAGGAUGCUGAAGUGGCACCAUCGGCCGGAGAGCGCCACAUUCGGUAGUCUCAUUAAAGGGCUCUGUUCACUUGGUCGGAGAUACGAAGCCAUUUUGUGGCUGGAGGAGAUGAUCGGCCAUGGUCGGGCACCGCCGGAUUGCGUCUGGGCAUCUUUGGUCUCUAUGGUAUGUCACAGUAACUUGGUUUUGCAAUCUUCAUGCAUAGGAUUCUUUGAGAUAUUGAGUGGUAGUGCAUCAUAAUUCAUCCUGUAUUAUCAAACUAUUGUAUAUUAUAUAUUGCAUUAAUGUGUUUGAUUUUUUAAUCCAAGCCAUAAUACAAUGAUAAUUGAUACUAAAUUAUGAGCUAGUCUUGCCAAGCUUCCAUGCUUAUUUGGCAAUUCUCAAGGGGGAAAAAGAAUGAAAAAUGAAUCUACAACUAGAGAAAAUUUCUUUAGUUUUGCAGAACAACUUGUGAUCAUCAGAAGAGAUAAACAACUAGACACCAUAAAGGUUUUCAUCUUGGUUCAGUGGCUACAUUAUUAUGUCUAGUUUGAAGUGCUUCUUAAUCUGUUUGAUGAUGUAUAUGAAUGUAAUGGUUCGUGUCUCCAUAUCAUCUGAUUUAGUCUGAUAUUUGAUGCCCCAGUUAACCUUUGCGAGACUUUGAAGAUCAAAGUUUAUGAGAACCGAUAUGUUAUUUUAGGUUACGAGAUGCAAACCGCGUCUAAUUGCGUAUGAGGAUUGGAAGAGAACACUAGCAUCAAUUCCAGAUGAGUUGUUCUUAUAUUUGGCCAAAUUGGUUUCUCUGAAAGGUUUUUAGCCUUUUAUAGGGAGUAUCUUUAGGACAAUUUGGAACUUGAAAGAGUAGAUACAAGUGCGGAAAAUGAAGAGAUCAUAUACCUGAAACAUCCAUUAGAGGCAUUGAGGAAUAAAAAUGGCUAUGAAGUUCAUGAGAUCUCUUUCAAUAAUCAUUCGCAUCAGUUUGUGAAGAGUUUAUUCCUCUCAAAUUCAGCAUGUGUGUGUAGAUAGUUACCUUGUCGGCGCUGCUAUUCACUUGCUCCUUUUGUCCGAAUACUUUUAUGUCUGCAAUAAACGGAUGACACGAACUAAUCUACAAUACAAUCUGUCAUGGAAAGACUUUUGAAGAUUAAUUCCGGAGAAGAUGAUAUACCAUGAGCAGUAAGGCAUUUAAUUUCGGAUAUUAAAGUCACGGGGACUGCAAUUGAUAUAAAAUUAGGGCAGUAUCAUCACGAGGAGAAUAAGGUAGCUAACUGGCUUGCUAUCAUGCAACAUUCAUGAGUUCUUGUUUCUUAGAUGUAUCUGUAUUUGUAACUAUAUUAUCUGACUUUUAUUUCCUUUCUUCUCGCCCUGUCUUCACAUUUUGCUGUUCGUUGAACCGUUUUCUUGGAGGCCUCUGCUGUCUCACAUCUAUUGUUAAAUUUAUUUCUUUUGAAUAAAUGAAGUGGGUAAUUUAUACUUUUUUUCUCAAAAAAAUUAAUCAGAUCUACCGCUUGUAAUAACUGAAUUGAUACACAAUCUUAGGCAAUUUACGGAAAAAAAAAAAAGGAUGUUCUUUUUGUCUCAGUUUCACAAACCUUCCUUUCUCUUUGGUGGAUCUUGACUUUUGUAAUUCACUAGAGCAUCUGUCACCAACCUCGAGGCCUGUUAGUUUGCCCGUAAUUAAUUUUCAAGUUAAAUAUGAUUUUUCAUGGAACUGAAGUUCAAAUAAAAAUUAUUUUUCAACCAUUAAAAGUCAGUGAUUUGAAACUGUAGUUAUCAUAUACUUUAUUUGUUUAUUUUAUUGGAAAUUUUUUACAUUAGCACAUUGAAAGAUAAAUUAAAGUUUUAAAUGUCGAAUUAAAAAUUUUCAAAUGUCGCUAGAUCAUGCGGCGAUUAACAAUAUAUGCGGCUAAUUUAUCCUACUUAGCAGCAUAAAUGUUAAAAUGUUGAUAAAAUUUUAUAUUUGGCAGUAUAUAAUGAAUAAUAUUGCUACAUACUAAAUUUAGCAGGAUAUAGGGGGUGUUUGCUUUGGCCUGAAACGAGGCUGAAAAUUAUUUGAAAAAUGCUUUUUCGCUCGCUUGAUUCCAUGUUUACGGAUUUGAUAAAAGAAAUGAAGUUUUCAUUUUUUCACUAUUUUCACAAUUUUUCGGCGAAAAAUCAAAACCAAGCCGCCUAAAAUUUUUUCAAUUAUUUUUUCCUACCAAAUCAAACAAAUUUUUUUUUUUUUUUUUCCUUUCAACCAAACAAAUGGCGAUGAAAAGUAAUUUUUUUUCCUACAAAAUAUUAAAAAAAAAAUUUCACCAAAAAUAUUUUUUAUGAAAAAAUAUUUUUUUAUAAAUUUACGUUAGAUUAACCCGACCCUUAAUCAAAUGUCGCUAGUUUUCUGCUGCUGCGUUGACUGAAAACAUAAAAAAAAAAAAAAGAUGGUUUCUAACAAAUUUGAAUAAUUGAAUCCAAACAGUCAUCCAAUAAAUCUAUUGAUCCCGUCAAAAUCUGCUUAUAUCUUCACUCCUACGAAAAGUAAACACUAUAAACAGCUUUUCAUCUUUUUGAAACAACAAAACAGGAUGAAAGAGUGAAUCAUUCUCAAAUUCAAAAAUAAACUUAGCUGGAAAUAUAAAUCAACUAGCAUUCGAACUUGGGACCUCGGGUACCAACCACCAAGCCCUUUGCCACUUGUUCUAACGACGGUCGGUAUUUCUUAUAAUUUUUCAGUAUAAAUUUUUAGAUUAUUUCAAUCAAACACCAUAGUCAAGUUUAAUUAACUAACUAAACGCUGACAUGUUGUAAACGUGGUGACACUUUAGUCAUUUUAAUCAUAUCAACCACAAUAUUAGUGUAUCGCUACCUUAUCGAUGACAUUGAUAAAUCACUAUUCAGUCAACUUAAAUUGCAUGUUUUUGAAUCGCUACCUUUUCAUUGUUUGAGCUCAAUUACAAUAAUGUAAAAAAUUAUAAUAAACUAAAACUUAAGAAUUAAAAUGCCAUACAUCGCUUAAGCGAGUUUAAGCAUCAAAAAUUAAAUUUAGCCUUUGGGUCACCUGUAUUUCAAUGGAUAAAAUGCACAGAGACCAUCUGAACUUUAGUACGUUGGCAAAUAAGCAUCUGAAUUUUUAAUCCUGACAGUUAUAUUUUUCUAAACUUUAUUAAAUUAUAUGAAAUAUAUAUGAACAAAACGAUUGGGAAAUUUACAACUUUAAUUAAGUUGAGAGACAUAUUGAACUAUUUGAUAAAGUUCAGAAAAUAUAAUUACCAAAAUUGAAGGUUAAUGCGUCUAUUUACAGAAAAGCUUUUGUUCCGAUGGCCUCUAUACAUUUUACUGAAUUCCAAACACAAAAAUUUCUGUUUAUAUACUUCAAAAGAGGGUAUAGAUCUUACAUUUCUUAUUCUAAAGUUUACAAAAAUUUAAAAAAUUAAUAUGACAAAUAAAAUAAAAUAACUCUUGAAUAAAUAGAAAAUAUAUAUAUAUAUAUAUAUAUAUAUAUAUAUAUAUAUAUAUAUAUAUAUAUAUAACUUAUAUGAAUUUCUAAUAUUUUUGCCACAUGACAAGUUUUCUUUUAACCUCACUAGCCUUUUUUUUGAACUGACAUUUGCUCUUAACUUUUCCUCUCCCCUCUUUUCUAUUUGAUGACCUGUAAUCAAUGUGCUCUUUAAUUUAUACAUUCCUUUCUUUUUUCCUCUUUAAUAUUGAUCAUUUUUUCUCCCUCAAACCUUUUCUCAAUGUCCAACUCUUCACCUCUCCAGUCCUUUAAUUAUAUGCACACCAUAUUCCACCAAUAAGUGGGCUUUUAACUUCAAUCCACUCCUCACCUCCAUUAACCCCCCCGCUCCCUCUCUUUUGCAUCACCUGUUAUUUUCUAUGCAAAACAGAAUAUCUUCAUCUAAUCUCCCACCUAACACUCAUUUCCCUCUCUUUUAUUGUGUUAACGAAGAUGAUGAGGACGAUGAAGAAGAAGAAGAAGAAGAGAAUACCAAAAACGUUAUCUCCUUCGAGAAGUAUUGUCCCGCGAAGUCGAGCCACAGCCUAUAUAAAUGCCCGCUGGGCCGUUCUGCGCCGGGGCCCCCGCUCACCGUGAAUUGCUGCCGCCUCAGCUGCCUCCUCACGUGGCUCGCGCGUGCCCACAACUCAGCCGAGGUGAGCAACUUCCUAAGGCUCCUCUUCAAGGGGACGCUGCGCGAGAGCUCGCUUCUUGAGGAUCGCAGAAACUUCUUGAUAAAUCCAAAUUGUUUGAGAAUUAGGGUUUCUGUGAUUGAUGUAAUGGCAAGGUUGUGUCAAUUUAGAUAUCGCAAUUUGGUAAUGUAGAUGAGGUGUUUGUUCAUAUUUCGCAAUGAAUAUCCAGAAGCGACUCGGUGCGGGGAGUAACUAUCAACUAAAAAUUAAAAAAAUGUAUGAGAUUUGGAUGAACAAGUCGCGUGGAUGAAGAAGUGCUCCGAAAAAUUAUUAGUUUUUUUAAUUAAUGUUUUUGUUUUAUUUUUAUCCCAUGUCCAUUUUUUUGAGUAGACACUGUUGUGGGCAAAGUUCCUUUCGUAGAUUAAAAGGUAUCAUGUGGAGACUGGAGCUUGUGAUUCCACACAAAAUUUUCUUAAGCCAGAUAUGUUGACUUAUUAUUUAUAUGUUUCAUAUCCUUAAUCUGUUUUAAUGCUUGGACAGAGGUGCUUAAUUCAAUUGAAGCUAGCUCUUAUUUAUCUUUCACAACGAAAUGUUCAAGAGGCACAAAAUGCGAUAAAAUCGUAUGUCACUUACUAUAUUUCAAUAAUUUUUAAAAAAAUUAUGUAAGUUUCUAGUUAUAAUUUUAUUUUUUUAACAAUUAAAUUUAGCCAUACAAAUUGACUCAGCUUAACAUGAUAUAAUUUUUUAUACAUCAAUAAGCUGUAAAUAUAAAUUUUAUUAAAAUUUUAAAAUUUUAAUUUUUUUUUUUUUUUUUUUGAGAACUAGGUAGCAAGCUACCUGCUUCAUUCAUUAAGUAAAAUGAACUAGGCAUACAUGAUGGAAGCAACUAGGGCCUCCAAACCGAGCCGACAAAACAAAAAAGCAGGAAAAUGGCGAAAAACAGAUCCGUAAAAACGGGAAGCGUAAAACCGAAGAAACAGAGGAAAACAGAGGAAAACGAGGAAAACAUGAGUAAAAGGGCGAAGAGAAUAAGACUAAAGGUAUAUCUCAGAUUUCGAAAACGUCAGUCCAGUCUUUGAUCAGAGCGCCGACUCGUUCCAGAGCACGGGAGGCGUCGGGAGACCCAUCGCAGAAGAUGAUCCUGUUUCGCUCCGUCCAAACGACUCACCAGAUUGUCGCAAGCUGUGUUAAACCGUUCGAUCUCGCUCGGUUGUUUAUGCUGUCGGAGAUUUGUGCCCAUAACCGCCGAACAUCCCCCGCGUCCAAAUCGGCCGUCACAAUAACCCCCGUUUCAAGUCGGAGAUACCUAACAAAGAUACAUUCUCCGAACAGGUGGUCGCAGCUUUCGAGUAUUGACCCACACAACAUGCAAUGCUGAUCUACCGAAAUCCCCCCACGAAUCAAUCUAUCCGCUGUAAGCAACCUCUUGCGCAAUAAAAUCCAGAUGAAAAUUUUUUGCUUGAGCAGAAUUUUUAACCCCCAAAGAUGAUCGUACAGAGGAUCAAUCUGCCCUGCAUCUGUGACGAAAUCAUAAAGGGAUUUAACAGUAAAAUUCUGAUUGGCGGUCCAUCGCCACUUUAGUAUAUCGUGUAAACCGGAAGGGCUAUACGGAUUCAGGAGGUUUUUGAGCGACGUGAUAAGUUGACGAUCCUGAGAGGUAAUAUUUGUAGCGAGGCAUCUAGUUAUGAAACGCCAUCUCCACCCUCUUUCGCUCCAGCAUUGUGACACUGUGGCCUCCUAAUUGAUGAUUUUAUCAAAUAAUACCGAAAACCUGGUACUUAGAGGGGUUUCUUCGAUCCAAAUGUCCGACCACCACCUGAUGUUUUUCCCAUCUCCAAGUACAUACGAAACUCCACAUUUGAACACUUCACGACAGCUCAUCACGCUUCUCCACCACUGCGAGUAAGGUCUGAAGGAUCUUCCCUCAUUUAGCAGUCUUCGUCUGGUGUAAUACAAUGCUGUGACCAAUCUCCUCCAUAGUAGGUGUCUCUCAUUGAAAAAUCGCCACCACCAUUUAGUUAGCAGCGCCUUAUUCAUAGCUUCCAUAUCUUUAAUCCCCAGACCCCCUUCUCUUUUGCUUUUGCAUAUUAUUUUCCAGCUGACUAGGCAAGAGCCGCCUGAAAUAUUGGAGCACCCUUUCCAAAAGAAGGCUCGUCUAAGGGCUUCUAUCCGGUUCAAAACCCAUUGUGACGCUUUAAAAAUAGCGAAGUAGAACAGCGGGAGAUUUGAAAGUACCGAGUUGACUAGGAUGACUCUUCCGCCAUGUGAUAGUAGUUUUGCCUUCCAACCUUCAAUGCGCAUCUCUAUACGGUUAAUGAUCGGAGCCCAAUCUUUUUUACGGAGGGGGCUGAUAUGUAGUGGUAAGCCCAAGUAGCGGAAUGGUAGCUUACCUACUCCACACCCCAAAAUAUCAGCAAGUCUCUUGGCUCUGUUUUCGUUGGUUCCCAAGUAGUAGAGCUCCGUCUUAUUAGUAUUAAUCUUAAGGCCAGAGGCCCAUUCAAACAGCUUCCAGAGAAAGAGUAAGUUACUCAUGGCGGACUUUUUGGGCUCUGAAAAGAAUAAAGUAUCGUCCGCAUACUGAAGGAUCGUCGUUUGACAUUCGACGGUCGGUCCAAUCCCCUGAAUCAAGUUAUUUCCCCUAGCUGCUUCCGUGAUCCUAGCCAAACAGUCAGCAACCAGUAAGAAUAAGUAGGGAGAGAGCGGGUCCCCUUGUCUCAGCCCCUUCCUAGUUUUCAACCACCUUGUCGGUUCUCCAUUUACUAAAAUAGCUAUUUUAGCAUUGCAGAUACACUAUUCGAUCCAGUUCCACCAUUUCUCACUGAACCCAAGCCAUCGUAGAAUACUUUGCAGGAAGCUCCAUCUCACGUUGUCGUAAGCUUUCUCGAAAUCCACCUUAAUGCUGACACACUCCUUCCCAGAUUUUGCGCACCAGUUGAGUAAUUCACUUGCUGUGACGAAAGAGUCAGCUAGUAGUCGAUCCUUCAGAAAAGCCGCUUGUGACGAAGAGAUGAUCAUUGGCAAAAUGGUCGCGAUUCUAUUCGCGAGCACUUUAGAGAUGAUCUUCUGAAUUCCAUUCAUUAGGCAAAUCGGUCGAAAGUCGUUAGCAUGGCAUGCGCCUUCCUUUUUGGGAAUUAAACAUACGUAAGGGUAGUCUGUUGGGGCCGUGAAGAGGUUGUUCUCCUGCAGGUCUGUGAAGAUAUUAGAUAUAAUGUCCUUGACCGUCUCCCAAAAGUAUUGGAAAAAAAUGAGUGGGAAGCCAUCGGGGCCGGGUGCCUUUUCACUACCCAGUUGGAAGGUAGCCUUUUUAAUUUCGUCGAUAGUAAAUGGACCCGUAAGGGAAUCCGGGUCAAUAAUGAAGUCCGCUCGAUACAGGUUGGCCCAAUCUCCAAAAGAGGCAGGCUCUGCUUCAUCACUCCCAAACAGACGUUUGAAGGUGUGAAAAAAAUAGGAAUUCUUUAUAGCUUCAUUGUGAAUUUGUUCUCCAUUAUCAUCUACUAUAUGAUGUAUCGCAUUGCAACGCUUCCGACCAUUGGCCACUGCAUGAAAAAAUUUUGUAUUACAAUCACCUUCCUUGAGCCAGUGCUACUUCGCUCUCGUUUUCCAAAGGAUUUCUUCCUCCUUAAGAAUGAGCUGAAGUUGAGCUUUAAGGUUGACCCGUUUAUCUCGUACGUCCGGCGGCAGUGUAUCUCGUUCCUCUAACUGGUCGAUACUGCGUAUUUCCUCCUGUAUGCUCCUUAUAGUGUUGGAUAUACUAUGAAAUUUCGUCGUACACCACUCUUUCAUCCUGUUUCUACAAUGCCUCAGUUUAGCCGUUAGAGUAAGGAUAGCUGACCUCUCACUGGUAACUUCGUUCCACCAGAUAGGUACGCUGAUGGAGAAGCCCUCCCUAGAGAGCCAAACUCUCUCGAACCGAAACCUCCGCGUAGAGCAAAAACCUCCUAAGUUGAGAAUUAGUAGUGUAUGGUCAGAUGUGAUUCUGGGUAACGCAGAAACCCUGCAAUGCAGGAAUUCUUGAUCCUACUCUGUCGAGAUUAAAAAUCUAUCUAGCUUGGCCAAGGUCGGCGAGUGUUGCAUAUUUGACCAAGUGAAGUUUUGGUUGGAAAUGGGCAGAUCCAUGACUGCGAGAUUCGCUAUGAGGUCGGAGAACAUGUUCAUCGCUCUAGUGCUCCACAUAUGUCCAGUACGUUCGAGCUGGUUUCUAGUAAAAUUGAAGUCCCCACAUAUCACCCAGCUAGUGUUAGAGCAUAUCACACUGAGAGAAAGGAGUUCAGAACAAAAUUCUUCUUUUCCUUCCCAAGUCGGUGGUCCAUACACGUUCGAAAGGUAAAAACCCCUUCCGCUGUUAAUAUGUUUCAAGUUGAGGGUGAGCGAGCGAUCUCGAAUUACAACUUCGGUACAAACGAAGAAUUUGGAAUUCCAGCAAGUGAUUAAGCCCCCCGAAGCACCGGUUGUCGGAAUAAAGUGGCAUCUGUCGAAACUCGACCCACAGCAAGAACGAAGGAACGAGCGAGACACGGAACAGACCUUAGAUUCUUGGAUACAGAUGACGGACCCAAAAAAUUUUGAGAUACAAGACCUGACACAACGACGCUUACAAGGGUCGUUCAGACCGCAAACAUUCCAAGUGAUAAUACUAAACAUAAGAAAAGCAACACACAAACAAAAGGCGACCGCGGCUCUCAGCAAGACACACAAAAGGCGGCCCAAGCACAAAGCAUUGCACACUGUGGAUCAGCCACGCAGCAAGAACUUGUGUAACUCCUCAGCUUCGACCCCCGAGAGCUUCACACCACACUGAGCCCCUUUCAUCAAAACCUUUUUGCUGUCCCAUUGACGCGGUAAGGACGUCGCACCAGAGGUCUUUCCUUCCAGAAGGAACACUUUCCGAAGUUUCGCCCGCUCGAGCAUCGAAACCUUCCGAGCAGAGUCGAACCUUGCACUAGAUCUGGUUGCCCCAAUCGAAACGCUCGGGGAAGCCUCCACCUUUCCGAGCAUUGGUACAGUAUCAGGGGCAUGGGUUACCAUGUCCCCUCCGCAGGGCUCGGGCAACCGACCGACAGGCGCCGAGAUCCCACUGAGGGUGAGCUCCAACGAACCAUCCCGAAUAGCCGGGCCGCUACCCCCCGAAGCGAAGAUGGAGAGAGGUCCAAGUGGGCUAUCUUGACAGGAAGCCCCAAGAGUAGCAGAAGUGUUGUUGAGGGUGGGCUCGUGAGAAGCAAGACUGGAGGCCGGCCUGAAACUCAGCUCAAAACACAUCUCUUCAGGCUCCGCAACCAACCCUCCGACCGCCGCCGAUAGGGCCCACACAGAUAGAGAGAGCAAGGUUGAGGUAGCUACCAAUGGGCGGCCCUAGCGUUGGCUCGUCGAACGCCGCACUAGACCCACGGCCUCCCGUCUUCAGACCCUGGAGAGAGAGAGGUACCUCCGAAGGAGAUGGGAGGCCCGCGUGACGAGUGGAACGAUCAGGUCCCUCAGUUAAGUCACCAAGGAGGCCCAAGUGGCAAAAGGAUCCGGCAAAAGAGAAAAAGAGAGGCCCCCACCGCAACCCGACAAUGAGAGGCUCCCACCGCAACCCAACAAAAGGCCCAGUUCCAAGUACAUCCAGUGGACCCCUCCGCUCUGCAAAGAGACUGUUCCCCAACUCGGGCCCAAACCCCAAGCAAGCUGACUCGGGGGCUGAUCCUGAGUGGGUCCGUUGCCAGCAAAAGCCAAUGAUCGGCCCGGAGCUCGAGGCAGAUGAGCAGAUCUUAGAAAUAAAGGACCCCCGAUUCUCCCAGCUGGAGGACAUAACUCGACGGCCCAACUUUGCAUUAAUUCUAUGCUCCAGAAUCCAACUCGAAGACCUAGAAUCAAGAGAAAAAUCUUUUCCAGUAUGCUCCGCACCGAAACCGCCUGCCACCUUGCUACUACUGCACCCACCCACCGUCAAGAUGCUACCGCCCCCUUCCACAAGAGGUAAAACAUUAAAUGCGCCGUCAAUAUCAACUAAAUUUGAAUUCCAGUCCAUUGUACCCCGCUUUCCGAUGAUCACCGGACCCUUCCUGGUCGAUACCUCCUCGGGCUGCCGUUUGGAGUUGACCGAAGAGGGGGGUAAAUUUCGCCGUGGCGAACAAUCAGGAGACGAAACGCACCUCCUCCUAUCCCGGAUUUCGGACGAAUUCCAAGACGCAUCCGAGCUUGAAGAGCCGGCCGACGAACGUCUCUCUCUAAUAGAACCGGCUAAGCGAUAGUUCGGUGCGGGGUCACUCCGCAGAGGGUCGUGCUGAUCCGUCCUCUCGUUCGGUGGAUUGGCAGGAGCGGCAACGUCGCGACGGCCCCAUCUUUCGAGCUGGAUGAGCACCGAGAGCAUGUAAUCGCCCACCGUAAUUUUCAAGUUUUCCGGAAUAUCGGAGAGAAAGUUCACCGCAACGAGACACCGAUAUCCUGUGAGAUCCACCAUACAAAUCGAGAAAUCAUCCGCCCGUAUGAACCUGCCGAACCCACCAACUAGCGCCGCCACCGUUCGGGAGGACCAACACUCGUAAGGUAAGCAAACCAGGCGGAUCCACACAUUGUAUGUAAGUGAAGCCCUUCGUAGCCCAGAAUAAGGAUUCCAGGGAAAACACUGCAACCUGUGGUCCUCCAGCGACAGGAUCUCUCUACGGAUUAAUUGAUCCGCCGGCACCCACUCCGGCAGAAAAAUCACAAAGUCGCGUUGGUUGAACUUGGCAACAUGAAAGUCCGACGGAAAUCCGCCGAAGCGACUCGCCAUUCUGUUGGCUAUCGUCUCUUAAGGGAAGUGACCAAGCUUCUUAGGCGGGAGAACAUCUACCAAGAUGGCGUUGCGACAGUGAUUCUGUCUGGAGAAGAGGUCGUCCGUCUAGGGGACAAAUGCACUGAGGUAGGAAGGUCUGGCCCGCAUCGCCCUGUCUGCCGCCAUCGGCAGCCGAUCCAUACAGCCUCUAGCGACGUGGCCCGCCUUAAAGCACCGCACACACCUCAGGGGCCCGCGACAGGUGGAUGCCCAGUGGUUGGUACCCAGACACCGGUAGCACCUUCCCUUGAAAGAAGUAAAGGCAGGGCUGCAUCGCCGGCAUCACUACACUAAUUAUUAAUUAAUCUUUCCAUAUCAUCCCGCCUACCUGGUUGGCCGGACAUCCCACCUUACAUUUACACGAGCCGACGGUACAACAACAUGAUGGCUUUGUGGGACCCGCACACUUACCAACCAACCAACCAUUGAUUGAUUUUUUUCAUGAACUGCAACUCCCAACGACCCCACCGUUCAUUUCUAUAAUAAUAGGGAUUUCUCAGGAGCAAUCCAAGAAAGGUACCGAUUCCUCUCACCAAAACCACAAUAAAGCACAAAAAAAGAUCCCAGCAACAAAAGCAAUCAAAAUGGGUAAAUUGCAGACCUAGUCCCUGUGAGUGUUUAUUAAAUUCAUAUGUGGUUUAAAAUUUUGUGUUGUCCUUAUGGGCCCCUUGGAUUGUCAAAAUCAAAUAGAUUUUAUCCGAAAGCUUUGUGCAUCAUUUACUAUAGGUGAGUUUAGUCCUAAACAGAAAAUUAAUGAAAUGUACUAGCGCUUUAUAUUCUCCUGUAUCUCCAAAUGACAUGUUUAGGUGAUAAUCAGAGUGGUGUCAUGUACUAAUCACACAUGCGCAAUGCACAGCACGAGUAUGAAUCCAGUUUAAGUAACGUGGCAUGGAAUCGUAUCGAAAGUAUGCCAGUAUGGUACAGCUCGCUAUAAUUAGUAUAAGAACUAUGUUGCACCAUUAUUUUUUUGGCAUGAUAUGGCACGAUAAUACAAACCAUAUCGAAUGGACACUCAAAUCCUUGCUAAGCUGUAAGUCCAAAAAUGAGCGGUCCAUAAUUUAUCCAAUCAAAAAUAGAGCCCACUUGUUUCCUCCUUUAUCGAUUAUAAUGACCAGAAUUAAAAUAGCAUUUUAUAGCCUUAUAGGAAUUACUUGUGAGCAACUCAAAAAAAGAGACCAAACACCUUCACCAAAUGCAUCUCAAAAAACAUAAAAAUGAGUCCGCAACAGCAGCAAUCGAAAUUAUACUUCACAGGCAUGUCCUUCUUGGGCAAUGCUAACUUUACAAUAUAUAGCUAGGCUGGUAUACUAUCGGUAGCACGGAGGCCUCCGUGCUACCAAGUUGUUUUCAAUGAUGCGGCUUCCAAAUGGACGAUCGGCUCCGUUAGACUUGAUCUACACUAUUAAAAGUAUUUGGAAACCAAAUUUCAUAAUUUUUCAGCAUCAUUUACCUAUCAAACGAGUAGUCUAAAAAUAAACGGCUGAAAAUAAAAAUCUCAUAAAAAAUAAUAAUAAAAGACUUGAAUUUAAGAUCAGAGAUAUUGAUCUUACUUUAAAUAGUGAAAAGAAUUUUCUAUAAAAAUUUCAUCAGAUUUGGAUUGUUUUACACCGUUAAAUUCACAAACUCAUCACAUCUACCAUUAAAAUUGUCAAUUUUGAGACCUUUUGAUCACUAGCGAAAUGAUGCCGAAAAAUUAUGAAAUUUAGUUUCCAAAUACUUUAAAGAGUAUAGAUCAAGUCUAACGGAGCCGAUCGUCGAUUUGGAAGCCGCAUCAUUGAAAACAACUUGGUAGCACGGAGGCCUCCGUGCUACCGAUAGUAUACCAGCCUAGCUCUAUAUAUAUAUAUAUAGAGAGAGAAAGAGACAGAGAGAGAGAGAGAGUGUGUGGCUAUGGUUUUUGUAAAAGCACAAAGCACUUGGUACUUGUAAAUAUUUUACCGUUAGAUCUACGUUUUUUAUUAUUUUCACUCGUUAGAUAUACUUUCAAUCAACCACCCACUCAAUCUUAGGGAGCCCACAUCAUUCUAAUCGCUCAUCUCUUAAUUCAAUGGCUAAAAAUCUACAAGUAGCAAUAACUUAGUACUUUUAAAAGUAUAGGAGCUCAAUUUUAUAUAUAUAUAUAUAUAUAGGAGUUUGAUUGGACUACUAUCGGCAGUAAACUGCUCGGUUUUCUACCGAGUUGUUUUUUAUGAUAGAGCUUCCAAAUCGACGAUCGGCACCGUUGAACAUGAUCUAGACCAUUUAAAUUAUUUAGAAAUCAAAUUUCAUGAUUUUUUGGCAUCACUAACUGAACGAUCAAAGGGUCACAAAAUCUAUAAUUUUAAUGGCCGAUAUGGUGCGUUUGCUCAUUUAACGGUAUAGAAGAGUUCAAAUCAACUGAAUUUUUGUUAAAAAUUUUUUUAAACUAUUUAAAACAAGAUCUAGACUCUAGAUCUAAAAUAUAAAAAUUGUAUCAUCACUUUUUGAAGGAUAUUCAUUUCCAGCCAUUCAUUUUUCUGUUCACUUGAUGGACAAGAGAACAAUAUCGAAAAUGUGUGAAAUUUGAUUUUUCGAUAGUUUAAAUAGUUUAGAUCAUGUUUAACGGUGCCGAUCAUCAAUUUGGAAGCUCUAUCAUCGAAAACAAAUCAGUAGUAAACCGAGUCGUUUACUACCGAUAGUAUUCUAGCAAAAAGUAUAUAUAUAAUUGAGCUCGUAUGCUUUUAAAAGUACCAAGUUAUUGCUACUUGUAGAUUUUUAGCCAUUGAAUUAAGAGAUGAGCGAUUAGAAUGAUGUGGGCUUCCUAAGGUUGAGUGGGUGGUUGAUUGAAAGUAUCACCAUCAUGGUCCUAUUAGGUUUUAAGCCAUUGGAUUUACUUUUUGAUUAUUAAUAGCCCUUGGAUUAAACACUAUUCCACCUACCACCACCUACCACCUUCAUCUCAACCUCACAUCUCUCCAUCCAAGGGCUAAAAACACACAAGUAUCACCCCCAUGAUACUUUUACAAGUAUUCUAGCCCUACUAUAUAUAUAUAUAUAUAUAUAUAUAUAUAUAUAUAUAUAUAUAAUCUAGCUACUAUCCUAUUAAUAGGAUAGAGACCAUCAUCCUAUCAAGUCGUUUUUGAUGAUAGAGAUGCCGAAUCGAUGAUCGGAACCAUUAAAAUUGUUCUAGAGUAUUUGAAAUAUCUAGAAAUUAAAUUUUAGAAAUUUUAAAAAUCAUUUACAUGGUGAUCAAAGGAUUGUAAAAUCGACAAUUUUUGACGGCCUAUAUGAGCCGUUUGUUUGUUUAACGGUGUAGAGCAAUCCGAACUGCUUGAAUUUUUCAUAAAAAAAGUUUUUAUACUAUUUAGAUAAUAUUUAAUAAUUCUGAUCAUGAUUUGAGAAAGUCUAACCUCUAUUUUAAGAAGGUUAUUCGUUUAUGACCGUUCAUUUUUUCGACUCUUCGAUAGACUUGAUAAUGAUUUUUAAAAAUUACAAAAUUCGAUUUUUAAAUAUUACUUAUAGUGUAGAUCAAUUUCAACGGUGUUGAUUAUCAAUUUGGACUGUUGAUCAUUCAAAACGACUUGAUAGGACAAUGGUCCCAAUCCUAUUAAUAGAAUAAUACCCGGACUCUAUAUAUAUAUAUGGUUAAGCUAGUUAGAAUACUAUCGGUAGCAAAUAGACUCCGUUGUCAUUCAUUUAUUUUCGAUAAUAGAGCCUCUAAAUCGACGAUCGGCACCGUUAAGCAUAAUCUAUACCACUUGAAGUAUCUAGAAACUAAAUUUCAAUUCUUUUCAACAUCAUUCACCUAACGAUCAAAGGAUUUCAAAAUUUGUAAUUUUAAUGGUCGAUAUGAAGCGUUUUCUUAUUUAACAGUGUAAAGAUGUCCAAAUUAAUUGAAUUUUGGUUAGAAAAUUUUUUAAACUAUUUAGAAGAAGAUCUAUACAAUCGAUCCUCAUUACAAGAUUCGUAUCAUUACUUUUUAAAAAAUUUUCAUUUUCAACCAUUCAAUUUGUGUCCUUUUGAUGAACAAGAGAACAAUACCGAAAGAGUAUGAAAUUUGAUUUUUAAAUGUUUCAAGUGGUAUAGAUUAUGUUCAACGGUGCCGAUCGUCAAUUUUGAGCUUCCAUCAUCGAAAACAAAUGAAUGACAAUGGAGCCAGUUUGCUAUUAAUAGCAUUUUAGCUCAACUCUAUAUAUAUACUGAAUUAUGAAACAUUUUGAAUCAGCUAUCCUAUUUUUCAAAAAUUUAAAUUUACUAUUCAACUUUUCAAUUUAUUAAUUUAAAGCGAUCGAUGGUAUUACUUUAAUAAAUUCAUUGAUGUUUCCUUUUUUUUUGACCAAUUUGCAUAAAAAUCCACAAGUUUUGAGCUUUUAGUAAACCCGGCCGUUUUUUUCAAUUUUGCAGAUUUGGUCUGAAUUUUCAGCAAACUGACCAAAAUACCCUUAUACUCUUUUCUCUCUCCUUUUUUUUCUCACGUUCUUUUUUUUCUCGCCGAAAAAGGCGGCGGAGGCAGAGGUGGAAACGGCUCGCCUAGCCUCUGCCCCUCAUGCCCUCGCCCUGGCUCGCACACCCUGCGCCCUCUUUGCCUCCGACCCUGCCGAGGCCGCGUCGCGACCCUCUUUUUUUUCUCUCUCCGACCCUACUCCACUGCCUCUGUGGCCUUCCGCGACGAUAGCGAGGACUGUACCACGUUCUCUUCCUCCGCUUUCGCCCUCCACCUCCACUGCAAUAGAUUUUUUCUACCCGCUAAACAAACCCGCCGUCCCAACCCGUUGCUGCCGGCGACGAAUAGGAAGUGCUUCUCGGAGCCGAAAAACACAUCGGCGAGGGAGGAAGAGAAAAAUAGUUACUCUAGCAAGAGCAGUGACUGCGGUAGAGGGUAAGGGAAAGGUUGUGACCAAAAAAAAUCAGAGAGAGAAAAAAAUAUAAAAAAAAUAUAAAAAAAAUAUUUUUUUCCUAUCGAAAGAGCAAAAAUUAUAGAAGAAUGAAGAAAAAGAUAAAAUUGUACAAUUAAAAUAAAAUUACACUAUUUUAAAAAAUGUUUGCGCUGUUUUAAAUAAAAGUUGCACUCUUUAAAAUAAAAAUUAUAUUUCUUGGGAUGAAAGUUACACUCUUUAGACGAAAGCUGCACUCUUUGAAUGAAAUUUAUACUAUUUCUUUGUCUCUUUUUCUCGUCCUCCUCCUUCCCCUCCGCUUUUGCGUAAGCGAGUGCCUCGAUGUUGAGGUGCUCGUACCACACCUCGAUCGUCGGGAAAUCGAGUCCAACUCUGAAGAUUCAUAGAGGAAUUUCAUCAAAUAUAUGUUGGGCUUCAUCAAAACAUAAUUGUGACAACAUAAUCUAUGGGAUGGUAACUCCCACUGGGGUGGGUCCUUAGCCUUAUUAAGCAGUUUCAAUUUGCUCCUAGGACUUAAGGAUUCAUAGUUAAACAUAACCAAAAUCUAAGUAAAAUCAGUUAAUGGAUCAAAAUGAUAAAAGAAAAAAUUGUAGAACUUCUCACCGGUCGAUCCGACCCUUGAGCUUCAAUAGAAACCUCUUGUUAUCCUCCUCUGUGACUCGAACAAGCCUCUCGAGCAACUUCUUCUUCUCCUGGAAACCCAAGCUGUCGAUGUCGAUCUCUUUGCGGAUCCCCUCAUCAAAAAAGAUCCCAUUGUGCACCCGGUUGUAGGUUGGCAGCUUCUCAAGUGCCGCAUACUUGAGGGCCUCCACGUCGUCCUUGUCGCGCGACGACAUCGAGAAGACGUCGUCCCCCGCCGAAAGAUGGACGAGCUCACGCCGCGCUGGAAGAUAGACGAGCUGUUCAUCCGCAGGCUCACAAUCCCUACCUUUCUAUGCCCAACUCCAUAUCGAAUCUUUACUACUUCAACCCAAAGGAGAUCAACUUAAACACCCCAAAAAAAGUUUUUUUUUUUUUUUUGUCUCAUUUUUUUGAUAUUUUGAAGCUAUAAGGAUUGAAUUGAAGAGGUUCUCUUUACUCUCUCUAAGGUGAGAAAGAGAUCAAAACAAAAGAAAUCGGGUUUUUUCCUCUCUCUACUCUUCUCUCUCGAAACAAGGCGAUUUCAAGCAAAAGAGGGAUCAAAUUUGAAGGAGAUUAAUAAAAAUUGCAAAAAAAAUUUGCAAAGAAUACAACUUUCACCCAAAGGGUCGAAUGAGGAGGAAGAAGAAGAAAAGAAUAAAAAAUAAUAUAAAUUUCAUCCAAAAGUGCAACUUUUAUCUAAACAGUGUAACUCUCAUUUUAAAGAGUAUAAUUUGUCUCAAAUAGUACAACUUUCGUUUAAAACAGUACAAAAUUUUUUUAAAACAGUAUAACUUUAUUUUAACAAUACAAUUUCAUAUUUUUCUUCCUUUUUCUAUAAUUUUUAAUUUUUUUUGUAAAAAAAAAUAUUUUUAUUAUUUUUAUUAUUUAUUUUUUUCUCUCUAUAAUUGUUUGGUCACGACCUCUCCCUUAUCCUCUAUAUUGGUGUUUAACUAUUUUUCUCUUGUGUAACUAUUUUUUUCUUCCUCCCUCGCCUGCGAGCUUUUCGAUCCUAAGAAGCACUCUCUCUUCGUCGCCUCUUCGCUUUUCGGUCCUAAGAAGCACUCUCUCUUCGUCGCCUCUUCGUCGCGAGCAACGACAGUGAGGACAACAGGUUUGUUUGGCCGAUAAAAAAUCUGUUAUAGUGAAGGUUGAGGAUAAAGGCGGAGAAAGAGGACGCUAUACACGGCCUUACUAUCGUCACGGAGGAGAUAGAAGAGGAGAUAGAAGAGGGGCGGAGAGAGGAGAAAAAAAAAAAAGAUUGCAACACGGCUUAAACGAGGUCGGAUGCGAGGAGGGCGGGGGGUGCAAGGGGGAGGGCAAGGGCGUGAGGGACAGAGGUGCCCGUGUCUAACUUCUUCGGAGAGAAAAAAAAAAAAUACGAGAAAAAAAAUAUAUAUAUAUAUAUAAAUAUUUUAAUUAGUUUGCUAAAAGUUCGGACCGAAUCUGUAAAAUCGAAAAAGAACACCCAAUUUUGCAAAAUUUCAAAACUUUAGAAUUUUUUAUACAAAUUGGUCUCUCUACUUCGAUAAUUAAUAAGCUAAACCAAGAAAACAUACCAAGCACGUUCACCAAAACCACCUUAAAAUAAAAAAAAAAUCCUUUUAAUUUUCCCUAUUUUAGUCCUCAAACAAAAAAAAAAAAAGGGAAAAUACUUCCACAACAAAAGCAAUAAUCGAAUAGAUCUAAACAAAUUAUAUUUGCAGCUAACAAAAACGGCAGCUACAUCACGCUACCAAUCAUCGUCACAAUAUAACCCUUACAAAUUACCACAACAAUGAUGAUAACAAUAAUUAUAACGAAAACAUCGAUCAAGUUCACACCUUGGCGUAUUAAUCAAGAGAAAAAUUUGGGGGAAAAAAAUUCAUAUUUUUGAGUAAAUCAUUAGGGUUCUAAUUCUCUCUCUCGCACUCACUCUCCUCUUUUAAGCAGCGGCUCCCGUAACAGAAGAACGAACACUUGACGGCGUUACCUCACGGCGCGCCGCUAUCGGUGCGCCGUCACCAGCGUCUCGAUGAAGCGCAACCCGUCGAAUCGCGGCGCGAACUUCUCCUCCCCCUUCGUCGUCGUCGUCAUCUUCUUCUUCUUCAACGAUCCCGAAUCCACCGAUCGCAUCAUUCUCGAUCCCUGCUCCUCCUCCACCUUUUUCGCCUCCCUCCCCUUCGAUCCCUGCACACAAAUCGCCCAAAUCCAUGAGAAAGCGAAGAGAAUUACGGAUUAAAUUGAGAUCUCGAUCUCGGACGAGGGUUUACCUCGAAGAAGGCGACGCGGCGAUCGGCUGCUGCGGCGGCGGCGGCGAGGGAGGCAGCGGCGGCGGCCUUCGUCAUCUAUACCGGCGAACGAGAGAGAGAGAGAGAGACGCACCGUAACCCUAACCCUUUUGUUUCGCUCCGAUUUUCACGGCUCCAUUAAUGGCGGACUCGUUCCGCUUUAUAGUAACUAUUGAGGAGGACUAUUAAUGGGAUUUAAGUUUUAUUUGGGAUCCGGACGCGUAGAGAGUACUAAAUUGCGGCUAUAAUGUUUGAAGACCCCUCAACUAAAUGUUAUUCUGAAAGAAGUUCCAAAACUUUAUGAAAAGGUAUUAAGAAUUUAAGACAUCCAUCAAUGUUGGCUUAGGUUAUUCCAAUAUACCCCCCCUCAACUUUUUUGUUUUUGAGAUUGACACCCUCAACUUCUAAUUUCUUUUGUUUGAGAUUUUACUGACUAUUAAUUACGAUAAUUUUAUUUAAUAAAAAAUUUGAUGAAAUUAUCAAUAAAUUUGCAAAAAUUUUAACUAAAACUUAGUUAAUUCUAACGAAAUAAAAGUUAAAAGAGUUUAGUAUAAACAGACAAAAAUUGAGAGUCUAUUUUAUAAUGGCUUAUAGAUGAGAGAUUAAUUUGGAUUUUUACUUUUUUUUUCCUCUAGAUAACUAGUAUAGCUAAUGAUUCUAAAUAUCUAGAUUGUAUUGGUUCGCUAAUUAAAUUCUGAAAGACUAUUUUUAAUUUUUUCGGGAAUAAGAACAUUCCAGAAUAAGCUAAGAUAAAAUUUUAUAAGAAAUUCAAUAAUUUUGAGAUUUUGUAAAAGUGAGUUGUCAUUUUCAAUUUUUCAGAUUUUGCUUGAAUUUAUUGUGCUCGGACCAAAAUGCCUCUCUUAUCCUCCCGCCCUCCCCUAAAUACGUAGAAAGUACGGUACGGGCCACUCCCACAAACAAUAAAUGCAUGCUCCGAAUCAUGUCAUAAUUUUCUUCUUCCUUACUAUUCAUCUUCCUCUAAUUACUUUUUUUUUUCUUCUUCUUGUUUUUGAUACUUAGUCGCGUAUAUUGCUUUUUCUUCUUUAUCAUUCUUCUUCUCCUAGUCAUUUAUUUUCUUCUAUGUUAUUUUUCCUCUUCUUGCUCCUUCCUUUAUAAAUGUGAAACCAACUCAAACAAAUGGUGCAAUUUAUUCUUUAAUGAUGUGGUAUCAUCUAAUAAAUGGUGCAACUUUUUCUAUAAGAAGGCAAUAAUGUUAUUCGUGAAAUACCUUUUGGAAAAGAAACAAAAAAAAUAUUUUUCCUUGGAACCCAUAUCAGCCCAUUUUCCUUCCGCAAGAAAAAAUUUAAGAUUUACAAUUUUUCUGUUCAUGCAACAAUCCUUUAUAGAGGUUUGAGCAUAAUGAUAUCCAUUACGUCAUUUACUGUUCGGUUAAAUUUGAAAUAAAGUUGGAUAUGAAAAUUAGAAACUAAUUCUAUACAAUUAUGCAGACAAAUGGUGCAAAUAUCAUUCUAAAUAGUGCAAUAAAAAUGUAAACAGUGCAAUGUUUCCACCAAGUAGUACCACUAUAUUACAAAGUAGUGCAACAUUCCCUACGAAUAGUAAACUGACGAUCAAGUAGUGCAACGCAACUCACACCUCUCAUUUCUCUUCUUUUCUGAUUUCUUCUUUUCCUUCUUCCUCCCUCUCCUCCUCCCAGUCGUUCUUCUUCUUCUUCUUCUUCUUCUUCUUCUUCUUUUUUUGCUUUUGUACAAUAUGAUACAGAAUAACUGCUUGCACACAAAUAGGAAAGUUACACACAUUUAUCGUUAGUUAGUACAACUUGUAUAAUAUGUUGUACAAUAGGAGUAGCUUUUGCACACUUACAUAUGAAGAUACAUAAAUUCAUCACUAAUUAGCGUAAUUUCUAUACUAUGUUGGGCAAUUAGGGUAGCUUUUGCAUACUUUCACGUGAAAUUACACAAAUUUGGCAUUAAUAGUGCAAUUGUGAAUAAAUCACACAAUAAAUUAUUAAAUGGUACUAAACGAAGUUUGUUUUCGAUAUAUGGAAGGAAUGUCAUUCAAAAUUUACACUACACAGUGAAUGCAUUACAGAUAAACCUGACGCAUUCUGAGAAGCAAAUUCAUGCAAUAGAAAAGAAAAAAAAAAGAUGAUAGAGAUAUCUUAACUGCACAACAGUCUUGUCUAAUUAAAAACUAAAUUGAUGAACAAUUAGUUCAAUAUCUCAUGAAAUAGUGUAACUUUUAACGAAUUAAAGCAAUAUACAUUCAAUUUAUUCAACCCACAUGGCCAUUAAAAAUAUUGCCCAUGGUGCACCGUUUGCUGCCUGCUGUUUUGUUUGACAAUGCAAAGUAGUUGUAUUGGCUUCUUUUCACAUUUGCUGUUUGAAGCAAUCCCACUUACAUUGCACCCUCUCAUCUCCAUUAUUCCAUCCAUUUUCUCUCAACCACCUCAUAGUACUGUUCCCCUUCUCUGGUUCUCUUUAUGCGGCUUAUUGCUAUCUUUGCACUACUUGAAGCCCAUUUUACCCGGUUUGAAACCCACUCGCCAUUAUUUUCUGCUGGAAGGCAUUUUGCUUGUAAUGGCAUCGAAAUCUAGCGAGUCUAGCAAUUCGUCAUUUUAGGCUGCUGAGAAGGCACCUUUGAGAUCAAAUAUCGACGAUCCCAGUGGUAGAUAUAUAGUCAAUUCACGAUACUUUGUGGGAGCUUACAGAAAAACAUAUGCUACUGUUGUAAAAACACAUCACCUUCCUAUCAUUAAGAGCACCAUCUUCACAAACAUCCUCCUUUUUUUCAAAAUCACUAUAGGCAGAGUUAAUCCAGCAUUAUCAGAAAGAAGAUGUGGAUUUUGAAGGUGGCCCUCAGACCAUACAUUUGACAUCCCAAGAGGUGCCGUUUUUCUAGGAUUAGUCCUAGACGACCAAGCAAUAUACCUCGAUGUUAAGGGCGAACCUGGUGUUCAGAGGAGAUUCCUUGAGGGGAAAAGGUUGACAACAAGCACCUCGAGGUAGUAUUGAAAGAGAUGCCUUCAAACAAGGAUAGAGAGAGCAUUCGACUUCAUCAAAUCAUUCAAAAAAAAUCGAGCCGAGAACCACACAUAGAUAGGCUAUAUAGUUUCGUAAAAGUGCAAAAGUUAGAGCAAAGAACUACAUAUCGUUCUUGCACAAGUUAGAGAAAUACCACACUAAUUGUCAAAAUGUUGCACUAUUUAUCUUGAUAUUGCACUAUUUCUCGAUGUCGGCUACGUAAUUUCUUGCAAAUUUUCAAUACUGUUUUAGAAAAAAAUGUUUAUAGGUGCCGAGAAAAAAGUUGGCAUUCUGACGUAUCUAUUAGUAACUUUGGCUCAACGAUGUGUUGCAACAUGAACAGUUUUUGAAAUAACAUUGAGUUUGUACCUUUGACAUUCCGAUUGCACGCUUUCAUUUUCUCGUGCGCAUGUAGGAGAAGAACACAAAAGGAAGAAGAACACUUAAGAAAAAAAAAUACUAUAAGGAGAAAAGAAGACGAGUGGCAAAGAGGAAGAAGAUAAAGCAUGGCAGGGAGGAGGAAGGGAAAGAAGAAGACAAAAAAGAAGAAAGAAAGAAAGGAGAGGAUAGAAAAAGGUUAGCCACAUUGUACUACUUGAUCAUCAGUUGCACUGUUCGUAGGGAACGUUGUAGUACUUUAUAACGUAGUUGCACUACUUGGUGGGAACAUUGCAUAGUUUAUCGGCAUCAUUUUGUUUGCAAAGUUGUACAGAAUUAGUUCUUCGAUUUUCGUGCCCAACUUUAUUUCAAAUUUCUCUCAAAAAAAAAAAACUUUAUUUCAAAUUAUUCGAAUAGCAAACAACGUAAACAAUAUCAUGACACAUAGUCCCUGAGAAAGGGUUAUUGCAUUAGUAGAAAAAUAAUCAAUACUUUUUUCCUCGAAAAGAAAAAGCGGUUGGUACAGAACCUAAUGAUAAAAAAGGUAUUUUUUAUUUUUUCCAAAAUAGUGCAUCACAAAUAUUGUCAAUUGUUGCACAAAGAUAGACUAAAUUGCACAAUUUGUUGGAUAAAGUCAUACUAUAAAAAAAUAAAUUGCACCAUUUAUUUCAGUGCUCCUUCAUUUUACUUUUGUAACAGAGUUGUGGAAGAGAAGAGGAAUAGCAUAGAAGGAGAAGAACGGCAAGGAAAAGAGGAAUGACACGGAAACAUAAUAUGAACAUAGAAGUAACAAAAGAAAAUAAAAGGAGAAGAAUAUCAAAGAACAAAAAACAGUGAGGAGAAAAGAAGUAAAAGAUAAAAGAAUAUAGAAGUACAUGAAGAACAUAAGAACAUCGAAGAAGAAAAAUGGUGAAGAGAAAAGAAGAGGAACGGUAAGGAAAAGAGAGGAAGAAAAAGCAUGACAGUGGGAGGAGGGGAAGAAGAAGAAGAGAAAAGUAGGAGAUGAAAAAAAGAAGAAGGAAAAGAUGGGUUGCAUUCUAACGAAAAUAGUGAGGUGGCACAUAGUAGGCAUUUAUUGUUCGUGGUAGUGGCAUGUACCAUAUUUUCUACAUAUCAGAGGUGGGGGAUGGGGGGCACUUUUGUCUAGAUGCAACAAAUCUAAGCCAGAUCUGCAAAACUGAAAAAAAAUAGCCUACUUUGGCAAAAUACCAAAACUAGUGAAUUUUUUAUGCAAAUUUAUCAUAAACUAAUUAUUCUUAAUAUUUCAAGAAAAAUAGUUAGAGAGCAAUUUUUUUUAUACUGUAGAUGUUAAUUUAAACUGUUGCAAACUACACACACGAGUAACUUCCUUGGAAGUUGAAUUCAUAGUCAUGCCUGAACUAUAGUGUCAGAAUUAGAAUUUCAUAUUAUCUUUUCAAAGCAGUUAUAAUAAAAGAAAAGAAAGUCUAUCUUCUUUUACUAAAAUGUCUUUAAUUUUAAAUUUUAAUUUAUUUCUUUUUAAUUUAUUUCUAAAAAUAAUUAAUAUAAUAAUUUUAUUAAUAUAUAGCUCUUAUUAUUUUAGUUUUAUUUAUUAUAAUUAACUACAGCUUAUAUAUUUAAUAAAAGUAUGAGUAAAUUUUAUAAAAUUUCUUACUUAACUAAAAUAACUCAAUUAUAAAAAGACUAAGAAAUAUCAUUAUAAAAUAAGGCCAAUUUGUAUAAAAAAAAUUCUACUAAUUUUACAUUCUUAGAAAAGCAGGCCACUGACUUGAUUUUCACAAAUUCGAUUUGGAUUUUAUAAUAAACUGAUUAAGAUAUUCUUCUCUCUUCUUUUUCUCUUUUCUCAUUCCUCUCCUUCCUUCUCUAUCAUCUCUAUGUUGUCACUUAAUUUGGCACUCUAAAAUCUCCUCCAUAUCAUAUUUGUCAUCUCUUUUGCCCUAUUUGGCUCUACCAUUGCCUGCGCGCGUGCCUAUAACGUCCCGCUUCCCAGGAGGUCACCCAUCCUAGAACUAUUCUAGUUCUAACAUACUUAACCCCUCUUGAGCUUAACUAAUAUCCAAUAUGUUAUAGCUGGAUUAUGAGGUUUAGUCCUAUAAUAUCUAAUAUAUAUGAUUAUUCUAAAUCUUAGUAGUGUUGCAUUUAUCCCUUUUUAAGCCCUAACAUCCUCGUCAGGCUUAAGUACACUCGCAAGCACUAGGCAAUCUGAGACUUAUUUUACUAGUAUUAGUUGAUCUUGCGGGAAGCCAUGCCCCAUCCAUAACGAUCGUCAAUCAUGGACCGUGUUCUACUCGUUAUAUGACCCUAGAUCAGUCAAGACUUAUAUCAUAUUUCCUGCUGGUAAUUGACUAACGCUCCACGUUUUCUAUCUUAGACUUACUCUAGUUCUAGCAAGCUAAACUCUCUAAACUUUUUGAGCCUAACAAUCAUCCAACGUGUUAUAGCCGGGUUAAAUGGUUUUGCCCUAUUAUAUCCUAUAUAUAGGACUGUUUCAAAUCUUGGGGGUGUUAUAACGCCACACUCACCCUUACCCUCAUUGUGUAGUGGCACAGCCUCAGGGGAACCUCACCACUGCAGUCACCGCGAGUUCUACAACCGCACAAGGGUAGCAAUACCUCUUUGCCGCUCAUAGAUGGGUUCAUCCGGGGGCUAUUUACCGACACCCCUUUAAACAGUGGGGGGAAAGGUAAAGGAAAAGGGAAAUAUGGAUAUGAUGGUGGCACAAGAGACUUUGCACUAUUUGGACAAAUAUUACUACAUAGUAAGAAGAGAAUUAUAAUAACAUACAACUUUUAUUUUUGUGGUAUAAUUUAGCCUUAAAUAAUUUUAAAUCGUGCAACUUAAUCUCAAGUGAUGCAACUUAGUCGUCAUUGUUGUCAUCAAACAGGUCGACUCCUUUGCCGUCACGGUCGAGGUCGAGGCUGUCAAAUGCAUUGCCUAACACCUUCAUCCUGCAGUGAAGAAUGAGAAGUAAUCUUGAGAGCCAAGUAAAAGAAGGUUGGCCCGGCCGCUUCUAGAGGCAAUAGUUGUUAGAGGGGGCAAGGUGAAGGAGGAAUGGGAGGAGGGUGCAUUGUAUUGUCGUCAUCCUCUUCCUCGAACUACACUGUCGCCGGUAGAUAUCAAGCCUUGCCAUCUCAAACUGCACAACCACCCACGUACCCCCUCACCUGCACGAUUCGUGCCGUAUCCAAGCCCUCGUGCUGUCGCCAGCGUCAGCAAAGUUAUGAACGAGGCAGAGGGAGGAGCGCAGUGGCAAAGCGGGGGUGAUGGAGAAGGAAGAGGAGAAUAGGGAGGAAGCAAGUGGAGGAGAAAAAGAAUGAAGAGGAAACGGAAGAAGAAAGAGGGGAAGGAGAAAAAAAAAAGUGUUUUUAUCUCCUACUUAAAAAUUUUGACUGAAUCUAUAAAAUUAAAAAUGAUCCGGUUUGUCAAAAUACAAAACUAAUGAAUUUUUUUAUAAAGAAAGAUCAUAUAUAAGGAAAGAUAAACGGGCAAUUUCAAAUAAAUCUUAUAGUUGAGGGGGUGUCUACAUAUUUUAACCCCUCCAAUAAUAGCGGGGCCCACCAAGGGGUGUUUGACAACUCAGAAUCGCGGCGAUGGGUUGGGUUGGCUAAACUCCAAGGUAGAUUCUGACCAAUUACAAGACGACAACUGGCGCAGACCUGCGUAGGCUCGGCGCCGUUCGUUCGAUGGAUGUGCGAAGACCCAACAAAAAAAAAAAAAUAAAAUAAAAGAAUCACGCCAUUGCUUGCGUUGAUUGAUGUGAUAGCGUAUGAAAAUUAUUUUCUAUUGCAAUAAAAUAAAAAUUAAAAUUGAAUAAUUCGUGGCCUUCGAAUUAGGACUACUUGAAAAAUUAGGUACAUUAUUUAAUUUGUGUAUUGUGCAGAUAUUUUUCUUCGCAUGCAUAUCCUCAACAUGCGUGUACUUGAUUAAUAUAUUAAUGACUGGGUCAUUUGACUACUUAAUAAUAUUAAAUAAAAAAUAAAAAAUUAUAUAUAGAAAUAUAUUUUUAUGUUUUUCGAUAAUACCGUAGGAUUGUCGGAUUUGCACCCUUUUAAGAAACGGUUUGCUUAAAUCUAAUUACAAAUAUAGUGUAGCUAGAAAUAGAACAGUUAUAAUUAUAUGUAUCAUAUUUUAUUAGAUGUAAUAGAAAUUACUGUAAUUAUAAAUAAUUUCUUUAGUUUUAUGUAGUUGAGAAAUAAUUUUUAAAUAUUUAUUAUUUUACACAUUUGAUGGUGAAAUUAACUUUAAUGUAAAAAAGGAAAAAAUUAUUUAAAAAAUAAGUAAGGAGGUAAGUAUAUUUUUUAGUUAAAGUUACUUUCUUCAAAGAUUGCAGUUGGAACUGUGGCUAAUUUGGGCAUAGUUCCAACUGCUAUUAGGCUCCUCUUGCAAUUUUUACUAUAAUAAUUAAAGUUAAAUAUAUCAAACAAAUCACUGUAUUUAUAUUUACAUAUAGUUAAAAUUGCAAUAUAGUUGCAACUAUAAGCAACCUAAUGGCCCCAAAAAGUAAAAGAGACUUUCGUUCUCUCUUUUUUUCGGAUGGACAUUUGAAUAUACUAUUCAAAUAAAAUUCCGACGAAUUUUAUAAACUUUUAAUAUUAUUCAUCUAAUAUUUAAAUAAUUUUAUAAUUAACAAUUUUUAUAGUUAAUAUAUUAGGUAAAUUCGAGACCACUUAAUUACAAGGUAACUGUCCUAAAAAAAUUAUAAAAUCUAUUAUUUUUUCGCUCAAAUAGCCUAAAUUGUAUUUAGGGAUGUCAACAGCCAAUUCAAAUUUUUCAUCAUCGAAAAAUACGUGAAAGUAAAUAGCCCCAUUUCUUCUAACUUUAUUAUUAGCAUAUUACAUUAAUUUACGAAUAUAUAUAAAUUACUAUAUUGUUUAAUUAAUAGCAAUAUGAUAAUUAUAUUAAAAUGAUGAUUAAAAGCAGUUUUAAUGUGCUUCUCUGUAACACGUAGAUCUGUGUUCGAUUGUUGUUAUUUCUACGUAAAAUAGAUAUUACGUAAAAGACUUUGACUCCGUUUAUAAUUACAAAAGGAAUAUAUUAUAUAUAGAAAAAUAUUCGAUUUAUUUUUAAUAUUUUAUAAAAUAAUAGUUUAUUUGUUACUUCUUUUACUACACUAUUUAGGUCCCGUUUGGUUCAGAAAUAAAAUGAAGAUAAUAAAAAUUAUCCCCACUAUUCUGUCAACGAGGUGACUUUUGGCUGGAAUAUUUAAUUUUGGUCAAAUCUUAUUAUUUCCAGUUUUCUCGAAUACUACAACAAAAUUAGAUUAUAGGGACACAUAUUUGGGACACUUUUGAGUAAAUGUCCCAUUUAUGCUAAAACUUAAAAACACAUCUACUAAUGCCUAAAUAUAAAGCCCAAUCCAACCAAAAAUAAAAGAUUACUCUACUCAACCCACCACACCCAGUGCAUUUGGCCCGAUUACAAACAGAAAAGAAAAAAAAAAAAAGAAAAAUCAAUUACCAUUUUUUCUUCUCUCUUCACUCAAUCCACUGAAAUUCUAGACGAAGAGCCUUUACUGUCGUCCUCCUCCGCCACUGCAGCCAACAAGAUAGAGUUUCGGCGGUUGCUAAAUACUUAAAUAAGUGUUGGUAAAUUAGCAGCACUCUUUUAGGUUAUAGCGACACUCUUUAACUGUCACUAUAUACCUAACGACCCCACAUAUAGCAAUACUUUUUAAAAGUGUCGGUAAUUUUAGCUAGCAGCACUUUUUUGACAUGUACCUACAUUUAAAAGUGUCGCUAUAGACCGUUUUUGUUGUAGUGGAAUAGCUCCGUAUAAAUUAUUUCAUCAUUUUGACGGAAUAGUACUAUUCCGUAAUUUAACUUUUAGCUUUAUUAAGAUUAUAAAUUAAAUUAAAAUUAAAUUAUAUAGAUCUAAUAUCUUAUAUGUUAUAAUAAAAAUAUAAUUGUACUAUAUAAAUACAUAUUAUUUAUAUUUAAAUACUGUAAUAUAUGAUUAUAAUACAUUAUAUUUAAAUAUUAUAAUAAAUUAUUUUUAUUAAAUAUUAUAAUAAUUUUUUUUGCAAUAAAUUAUUUUUGUAACAAUUAUUUUUAUUAUAUUAUAUUUUAUAACAAAUCUAAUCAUCACUUUUUUUUCAUUAUUCUCCACUAAUCCAAAAAAUUAACGAAAUACAAUUUUAAUUAUUGUUAAGAAUAAUAGUAUUACAAACAAAACAUAAUUUUAUUUUAUUCCUAUCUAUUCUGAAAUAGUAAGCUAUCUCAGAGAUAGAAAACUUAUCUCANCUCCUAACUUUCUAACCACCCAUCAAGUUGGAUGGGUGGUUAGAAUGAGAGAGGGAGGAGAUAUUGAAGAGAAAUUGGGUGUUUCAAUUUCUCAUCUCCUUGAAUUUCUCUUCAAUAUCUCAUCUCUCUCUCAUUCUAACCAUCCAUCAAAUUUGAUGGGUGGUUAGAAUGUUAGGAGCACAAGGGCUGCUGUGCUCCUAAUAGCACAGUAGCCCUACUCUAUAUAUAUAUAUAGAGCUAGGCUACUAUACUAUCGGUAGCAUGGAGCGCUCCGUGCUAUCAAGUUGUUUUCGAUGAUGCGGCUUCCAAAUCAACGAUCGGCUCCGUUAGAGUUGAUCCACACUAUUGAAAGUAUUUAGAAACUAAAUUUCAUAAUUUUUCGAUAUCUUUUACCUAUCAAACAAGUAGUCUAAAAUUGAACGGCUGAAAAUAAAAAUCUCAUAAAAAAUGAUGACAAAAGAUUUAAAUUCAAGAUCAGAUAUGCUGAUCUUACUCUAAAUAGUGAAAAGAAUUUUCUAUAAACUUUUCAUCGCAUUUGAAUUAUUUUACACCGUUAAACUCACAAACACACCACAUCGGCCAUUAAAAUUAUCAAUUUUGAAAUCUUUUGAUCACUAGUCAAAUGAUGUUGAAAAAAUUUGAAAUUUAGUUUUCAAAUAUUUUCAAUACUGUAGAUCAAGUCUAACGGAGCCGAUCGUCGAUUUGGAAGCCGCAUCAUUAAAAACAACUUGGUAGCACGGAGCGCUCCGUGCUACCGAUAGCAUAGUAGCCGGACUAUAUAUAUAUAUAUAUAUAGCCGGACUCUAAAUUUUACAAGCACCAUAGCCGAGUUCUAUAUAUAUAUAUAUAUAUAUAUAUAUAUAUAUAUAUAAAACUAGGUUGGAAUGCUUUCAAUGGUGUUAUUAGAUUUUCGGCACUUGGAUAAAAAAAUAUACGAUUAGAAUAAUAUAAGGCCCCUAGAAUUGAGUGAGUUGUUGGUUAAAUAAUAUGAUCUACAUGUACUUCCUAAUGUGUUUUUUUUAAUCCAAUAGUAUUAGAAAAUCUGCAAUAGCGAACUGUACAGGGCGAAUUUUUUGUAGUCUCGUGGGCAGGAUUUUCUGCAUAGCAUGUGGUUUUGCUGUCUUUCAUACAUGAAAAUAUCAAGAUAUUUAGAUGCUAAUCAAAUUCGAAUGAUAUUUUCUUCGUGUGAACAGACGGCGAGAUCAUUUCGUGCGGCAUUAAAAAAAAAAAAAAAAGGAAAAAUCUGAGUUUGUGUGAUGAAGGGUCUCUCUCUUCUGGGCUGUGGUGUAGCUGCCUGUGAUGCGCGCUAUUGGGUUUGUGGGUAGACUUUACACCGACCACGACAUCUUUCGGUGGUGGUGGUGGUGGUGGUCCCGGCAGAAGUGAUCACCACAUAUUUUUUAAAAAAAGGAAAUAAACGCAUGGAAGGGAAUGGUCCUCAUUAGAGGGAAAAAAAUCCCAAACUUUGACUUUGUAAUAAAUAUAAACCAUAAACUUCAAAUACCAUUCCCGUAAUUUUAUAUUUUUUCAUUUUAAUACUAUGUGAUUUAAAAUAUAUCAAAUUACUAUCCUGUGAUUCCAUUUUUCUCUUUUUGUCAGCUCUUUCGUUAAUUUUUUAUUAAAUUAUAUAUAAAAAACUUUUGCUAUCCUAUUUAAGUUUAUCGAAUGUUUACUCUCGUACCCUUUAGCUUUAACUUUGUCACUAAUUUAACGAACACAAAUUAAUGGAAUGGAUAAUAAAAAGAAAAAAAUGGAAACACAAGAUACUAAAUUGAUACACUUUAAACCAUGGGGUACUAAAGUGAGAAAAUACGAAACCACAAGGGUGGUAUUUAAAGUUUUCUCUAAAUAUAAAUAUAAAUGUCUAAACUUUUAAUUUUAGUAAUUGAAUAUUCUAUAUUUUUUCAAAUAGUUUGAUAGUUCAAUUUUUUAAUUAAAGUUAUUAAUUAUACCGUCGUGCUAGUUGUAUAUUUUGUAUAUAAAUUUUUUUUAAAAAAUAGAAAUAUAUAAAAAAUAUUUUCUUCAUUCUAUUCUACUGUAUGAAAAAGGUAAUAAAAAUUAAAGUUGUGUUCACCCUAUACAUCAAUUUUCAUAUCUUCUUUUUAAAUUGAAAGAGAAAAAAAAAGAAGAAGGUGUUUUUAUGGUCUGAAGUUUUACAAAAUUAUACUAAUAAUAUCCUAUCAAAACAAUUAUUUAGUUAAUAACUUUGAUUGAAAAGAGAAAACUAUAUAUUGAACUAUGAUUGGCAGUCAAAUUAUCACAAAUAAAAAAUUUAGAAAGCUGUUUACAACAGAACUAAGAUCAAAAAAAAAAAAGGGUACAUUUUUCCCUUAAUAAAACCUGUGAAUAAUUUGGAUCCUCGCAUCAACUGUUCUCUGCAUUUAAAUAUUUUGAUGAGGGACAAAGCUACCAUCUAAUCUGAUAGAUUCUUCAUUUUUUAACACCACAACAAAUUUAAGUUCCUGAUGGGACAAGAUAUCCAAGAUUCCAUUGCCCUAGCAUAAAAUCUUGUCUUAAAGUGGGUUGUUGCGUUUCUCACAUUUUUAUCUGUAUUUAAAAAAGAGCACUAAUAAUUUAUGUGCAUUUCAGAAGAGAAUGUACAUCUCAUAUUUUCUCAUUUAAGGAUCAAUAAUUAAUUCCUGUCUUAUCAAGUAUUUUUUUUUGAAAAAAAUACUAAACUUUAUUGAAUUUUUUAUACUCCAAAAUGAAGAGGUGUAAGAUAUAUAGAGUUGAGCUAAAAUACUAUCGGUAGUAAACGAGCCGUUUUACUACCGAUUUGUUUUCGAUAAUAGAACUUCCAAAUUGACGAUCGGCUCCGUUGAAUAUGAUCUAUACCACUUGAAGUGUUUAGAAAUCAAAUUUCAAAUCUUUUCGUCAUCAUUUGCCUAAUGAUCAAAGGGUUUCAAAAUUUAUAAUUUUAAUGGUCGAUAAGAGACAUUUUCUCGUUUAACGGCGUAAAGAUAUUCAACUCAAUUGAAUUUUUGUUAGAAAAUUCUUUAAAUUAUUUAAAACAAGAUCUAUACUCUUGAUCUUGAUUACAAGACUCCUAUAAUUAUUUUUUAAAAAGUAUUCAUUUUCAGCCAUUCAUUUUUCUCUUUAUUUGAUGGAUAAAAGAACAAUAUCGAAAGUACAUGAAAUUUGAUUUCUAAGUAGUUUAAAUGGUUUAGAUCAUAUUUAAUGGAGCCGAUCGUCAAUUUGGAAAGCUAUCCAUUUGAAAAACAAACGGUAGUAAACGAACUCGUUUUAUACCGAUAGUAUUCUAGCUCAACUCCAAGAUAAUAUAUAUAUAUAUAUAUAUAAUAAUAUAUAUAUAAUAUAUAUAAAUAUAUAUAUAUAUUAUAUAUAUUCAUUUUUGGUGAUCUCAUAGUAUUUCUGAUUUAAAAUAGGCUUUUGAUGAUAAACUUAAAAGAAAAUAUGUUUAGUUUGCUGUAGUUGUACAUACAACAUCACAGUUGACAUUGCCAAAUUAAAAGUAAUUACUGUAUUUUGAUGUACCUUCAAUUCCAAUGUAAAGCUUGUCAUAGUUUUGUUUUUUUUUUUUGAGAUAGAUGGUACGCUACCCGCUUCAUUUAUUUCAUUUAGAAAUAAAUUUAGCUAGAAAUGUGAAUCAACUAGGAUUCGAACUUAGGUCUUGGGUAUCAACCACCAAGCCCUUUACCACUUGCUCUAGGGACGGUCGGUGUAAGCUUGUCAUAGUUGCAUAUAAUAAUAUUGCAAUUGGGCAUGCUAAGUAAAAAUCAAGUUGCCGCAUAUUCCAGCCUACCUUCAAUCUGGACGUAAUUGUUGUAGAAAGUAAUUUUACAUAAAGGUUAUUGUCAGGAUAUUUCGUUCCUAACUGUAGUUUUGAUAUUGACAGCUAAGUUAACUUCUCUAUCAGACAUCUCAAAUUCUCGAACGAUCUGGAUAUAAAGUCUUUUUUUUUACUAGAUUAACAUUGUUUUGCUCAUUAAAUUAGAUAAGAUAUUUCACUUUAGGCCAAUAAAUAAGUUUUUCUCUUUUGUAAUCAAUAAUCAAUUUAUUAGUAAAGAAGUGGGUUCUUUUUAAUGCUUUCUCCCUUAAGCUAAGUUAGAAAAUGAGAUCCCCUUCCCCGUUGAGCGGAUAGGCGUCUAACAAAUAUGUAAAAUUUAUCUAUCAAUAUCAAAACUAUAGUUAAGAGUGGAAGAUUCUAAUAAUUUUAAAUCACAUUAAUAUCUUCUUUUAUAAUAAAAAUAGGAGGAACUGACAGUAGUAAUGUUUUUUAAACAUCUAAUGAUAGAUAAAGCAACGAAAUAGAUAAAGAUGGUGAUGACGGCGAAAGAGUGAUCCGUAAAGAUGCCGACAUGGUACAACUAGUGGAUGUGGCGAUUGAGACACAACCAGAGACGCCGAUAGAGAAUGAAUGAUUGGUGGUGGCAAUGGGAGAGGAAUAACAGGUGGAGGAGAUGGUGGAGGUACUUACGGAGGUGACAACUAGUUAUGCAGAGAAGUUAGGAAUUCUAUUUGUUGAUCCAUAGUCCGCAAAAUAGUCAGAUCAACCUCAUGACAAAGUUUUCAACCGAAAAUUCGCUAAUUGAGAUUUAUUCACAUUGAUUUGCAAUCGUACUUUUGGUGCUUAUACACAAUAAGGCACCAUCUUUCGGUAGAAAAUUUUAUCAAAAAGUUUUAAACUCUUGCAUCGUCUGCAAUAUAGAAGUUUUUAAGACUUGAAAUUAUUGAUUUUCCCGUUACUCUGUAAGUAAAGAUUCUCAUUAGUGAUUGUACCAACUAUGUUGCAAGUACGAAGAAGUGUAGUCUUUGCACUACAACAGAAUUAGGUUAUAGGGACACAUUUUUGGGACACUUUUGAGUAAGUGUCCCAUUUAUGCUAAAACUUAAAAAAACAUCUACUAAUACCUAAAUAUAAAGCCCAAUCCAACCAAAAAUAAAAGAUUACUCUACUCAACCCACCACACCCAGUCCAUUUGGCCCGAUUACCAACAGAAAAGAAAAAAAAGAAAAAGAAAAAUCAAUUACCAUCUUUUCUUCUCUCUUCACUCAAUUCACUGAAAUUCUAGACAAAGAGCCUUUCCUGUCGUCCUCCUCCGCCACCGCAGCCAACGAGAUAGAGUUUCGGCGGUUACUAAAUGCUUAAAUAAGUGUUGAUAAAUUAGCAGUACUCUUUUAGGUUAUAGCGAUACUUUUUAACUGUCACUAUAUACCUGGCGACCCCACAUAUAGCAACACUUUUUAAAAGUGUCGGUAAUUUUAGCUAGCAGCACUUUUUUGACAUGUAGCUACAUUUAAAAGUGACGCUAUAGACCGUUUUUGUUAUAGUGUUGACACAAGAAGGUUCGAUUUUGUUACUGAGAACUCGUGUUACUUACCUCCUGUUGGUAGCCGAACUCUCCCUUCUUUGACCUUGUCAAAGAUCUUCCUCGGGAAUGAUGCCGGGAUGUGACGCGGCUAUGAUAAUGACCCUCGAAGUUUGCGCCCUUCGACUGGAUCAAACGAUUAGGCUGAUGAGGGAUCGGAUCAGCCGAGUUCGGAACCUCUGAUAGAAACUCGGUUCGGCUGGAAGAGCCGAAUGUACGGAAUGUGCAGAAUGUAAAGUCGACCGAAGAGCCGAAUUGAUGAGAGAACACAGAAAUUGGUCGGCUUAAAGAGCCGAAAGCCUUUAAGAUAUAUUUGAAAUUACUCUCGAGGGAAAGUACAAGGGUUGAGUGUGCCCGAGGGCAUACAGACUCGGUUGAUCUAUUCUAAUUCUACUCUUAGGAAAACAGUAAAUGUUGAAAAUUAAAGGGUUACAAGUAGACUACUCCUAAGAAAUGCAAAAAAUUGCAAGGAAAUAAGAGUGGUCUUCUGUUCACGGGGAAAAGACCACUUUUUUGGGCGUUAUUGGCCAAUUUAUAGAUCGCCCAUGUUGAUCAGUUAUUACUUAUCCAUGAUCGGCCACUAUUCCCUAAUUUUUCGGGCCACUUCCAGCCGAUUGGAACCGCUUGCAACUGCUCGCGGUUGCUGUAACUUCCCUUAAUUCAUGCGGGUUCACUUUUUGAUGCUCCCGGUGCACAGCAGAAACAUUACUUUCUUUUAAACAAAACUGCUAUGGUGUACCGGGUACCACGUGUCCGCGUCUUAUUGGCCCAACAAUUGCCCCCUCGGCAGCUUCCAAACUACCGCUUCGAUAGCUGGCGUAAUCCGAGGCGCGACUUCCGAUCCGAUUAAAAUUUCUUUUAAGAUUUCGCCUCAGCCGUCCAUUUCUCUUCUACGGCCACGAUCUUGCCAUCAUUUCGAUAACUAGCGUGAUCCGAGGCGUGACUCUCGAUAUAAUCAAUUUCAAAUUCUCUGCACGAUUUCGUUUCAGCCGUUCAUUUCUUUUUCAAGGCUACGAUUCUGCCAUCUCUUUUUGUCUUAUAUGCGGCAUUAAUUAGGUCAUCUUAAUUGCCGCCGUCUUUUGAUCGUUAUAGCCGAUCUCGGGAAUCGAUUUUCGACGCGACGGCUCUUUUUCUUCCCCGCCAAUCUUUCUUUUCUCUAAUUUCUAUUUACCUCAGGCCUCGUCUUCUCCAUUUCUGAUCUAUAGCUUUGGCUCCAUUUUCUUUUCCUUAUCGAUUCGUAAGGCUUCUUCUCCCUUCUUUAGCAAUGGCACCGGUUCCAUCUCUUCCAUCUUCUUUGUCCUUAGAUUAUAACAUCUUUAGACAACUCACCGACUCAGAUCCAUCUCGCUUCAUUUUAGGUCCUUCUUUUACAGACGAACCAACGCCUAGCGACUCCCCAUAUUCCAGUGAUGGCCUUCCAUUUUCAGCCAGAACUACCCACCUCCAAUCUUGGUAUUCGUCAGCUUCAACAGGCAAAAGUUUUCGAACCUGGCCAAGUGUUUCGGAUGCAUACCUGGCCUGGUUAGACCGGGUAGAAGUUGCCUAUGGUGCCUCUUGGCGGGAAGUAGGUAUUUAUAAGGCAAUCAAAUUAUCUCGGCAACCCCCAAUAGCCGACAAUCUCCUUUUAGCCGCUGCUCUCUGUUUCUGAUACCCUGUUUCUAACGUUUUUCUUUUCAAAUGAGGACCCCUUACUCCCACUCUUUUUUAUGUUGCUGCCAUCGUUGGCUUACGCCCCCAUGGAGUUACCCUCUCCAUGUCCUACAAUCCUAAUGGCAUGUUUGAUUUUAAGGCUUAUCUUGAUCUCAAUGACUUGGCUUACUCUAAGUUUCUCUGCAAAUUUGCCGGUGAGUCUUCUGCUGCGGUUACAAGGAAGGAACAUACAGACUUCCUCCUAUAUUGGUUAUACCACAACCUUUUUUACACUCGUUCGCAAAAAAUUAAUCCGGAUUUCGUCCCAAUCGCCGUAGGCUUAGCCAACGGCGAAAAAUUAGCUUUAGGACCCUAUAUUCUUGCUUUUGUUUAUAGGAAAAUUUUUGAUUUUAUCAAACCACUGACCUCUGGAGAUGGUGUGACCAUCGGUUCUGGUUGUGGUGUUUUUUGGUUCUUGCAAAUAUUUUUGCAAUUUUAUUUUCCCACUCUGUGCCGAGAUCCUGUAGAUCUAAACUCGGUUGCUGAACAUGACUCUUAUAGGUUAGCUCUCAGCUGUCUACAACCGAAAACCUCAGGUCACCCUUUUGAUUUUCUUACUUAUUUUAAAACUUUUUAUGAGUUGCGCUAUAGUUUUGCUAUUUCUUGGUCUCUAUUUGCUGACCGUCUCACUUGUCCAUCUUGGUUCCUUACCCGAUACGAGGCCCUUCACAGCGAAUUGGCAUCUUCUCAUGCCAGUGAGUAUUUAGACGUCUAGUACUCCUUUUUGGCCACAAGGAUUUGCAUGUGGGGCUAAAAUCACGUUCGAAACUGCUGCCGAGCACCGAAGUUUACUCCCCCCAAUUUGCAGCGUGUCAGUUUGGGUUGAUACAAGCGGUUCAUGCUCCAACCAAGUUUUUUACUGCCAAUACAGCUGCCAUCCGGCCUACUACCAAGGGCAUAGCCGAAGCCGAUCAGAUUUCGGCUAUGGGGAACCGUCUCCGGCCGUUUUACAAGUUAAUAAGCUUCAGGUCGAAUUCCACAGGUGUGGCGCUAUCUAGUUAUCUCACAACUUGGGGACAAUUCACUGAUAUAGUCUACGGUUUAUCUACCCCUCGGGCGUAUUACAAGACUAUUCAUCCAUUUGUUUCAGUUGAUACCUCUGCUCCAUCAACAUCGGAAAAAGAAUCAGAAGAGACUUCCGAUCAUACCUCUGAUGUCCCGCCUUCUUCUUCUGUAAUAAACUUUAUUUUUAUUUUGACUUUCUUUUCUUAACAUGAUUAAUACUUACUUCGUCUUUAUCCAUUUUCAUAUAUAGUCAAUCCCGACUUCUUCAUCGGUCCUAGCUUCAGAAACUUCAGAAAAAAGACCGAUCGAGACUGAACCUCCGCCGCCUUCGAAGCGGCGUAAGUUGGUUGCUAAAAGACCACAUUCCAAGCAAGCCGAAGGCAUUUCUUCGGCUGACGAUUUGCAGAAAAGGGCAGAAAAUAUACCUUCUAUCACACCCCGAGACCGCUACCAAUUUGGUACGGUUUGGGCACGUCGAACAUACACCGAACGGACAGCACCUCCCCUGUCCGUCCAAGGCUUGACAACAGAAUCAUGUACAUAGAAUUGCCCAGGAAUAAUUCAAUUACAUACAUGAUAAGCACGGAGCACUACUAGUGCUAACAAGUGAGAGCAAGAUACAAGUAUACAAUACAAGUGAAUAUAUACAAUGUUCAUCCAAAAUACAUAAGCAACUCCCUCAAAAUACAUCACAACUCUCAGGUACAUGGGUACUCUAAUGCAUAGGGUAGCUGCUACUAAGUUAGGGCGCGAUGCCCUUACCACGGUCCUCGCCGGGAGCACUCGAACUCGGCCCUACAAUAAAGUGGGGUGAGAACUAUUGUCCAUAGUUUUCAGUGGGUUCGGCCGCUGACUCCGCCGAUCUCCCCACUAGGUCUAAGCAGGCAUAAGCAGAUAGAUAGAUAGAUAUCUAAAAGUAAAGCUGAUGCAUAUUGAAAGAAUUGCACUAUUCUACUAUGCCUUGAAAUUCAGGAAUGAACAAGAUAGCCAUGCAAUUACUAACAUACUAUAGUACCAACAUCAAGUAUGGAUGCAACUCUACUAGCUCAUUAUGCUCAAUGCACAUGAUUCUUAUGAGUUUAUUACCCAAUCCUUUGGCUGGCCCAUAGGCGCGCUCUGGACUCACAUCUCAAAUCCGUCUAUGAUGGGGGACUCGAACCACCCGAGGGAUCGUCUGCGGGAACCCAAAUAGGCUAUCCCAAUCAUACAUGUGCCAAACUCCGGAGCGCACUACUUGUGCGGAGCGACCGCCACAUGCGCUGAACAGACUAUGUGAGUAUGAUCCAAUCCUUGUCACAGAGGAUAUCCUGUCACUAGGGUCAUCACUAUCGCACUGAUCUCAUGCAAGGUGUCAAGUAGGGAGACUCGUCUAUCCCCUAAGUCAUCAUGUCACUAGUGUUCUUUUAACACUAAGUUCUAAUGCCACUCGUCAAGUUGUUUACUUAGUUUACAUGCCACUCGUCAUGAUGCAAUGCCUCGACUAUACUAGUCCUAUAUCAUCAACGCAAGAUCAAAUUAUUAUUUAACUUAUCUCUAUAGGGUUCUAUGUCACAAAGCUCAUCCUCAUGCACCCUAUCUCACUUGCCAAGCCUACUAUGCCGCACUACAAAGGGAACAUGUAAGAAUAGUAAUUGCAACAUCUAAACACCCUAUCAUGCAUGAAGUAUACAUAUAGAAUAUGAUCAACAUAGAGAUACUUAGACAUAGGGAGGAGCCCAGUUGCUUCGGGAUGACACCCUCCACCUCUUGAUAACGUAGCGAGGCUAGGUACUCGACUCCGCGAUCCUUGGUCGCCGCUUCAACUCUUCGGGCCAACACGAAGCCUCAAACGCUCGUUUCGGCAAUAUCUUUGUACUGGCUCGACGAAUCAACGAACCGACCUUUCCAACGCGUUUAAACACCUAGCAAUUAGGUUAACACAUGAUCAAUUUAGAUCAAAACCCUCUAUUUUCAAAAACUCCAAUUUGGGGCCCUAGGUUUCAACUAAUGCAAGAAUCCCAUCUCAAAUCCCUAGAUUCAAGCAUAAACCUUCUAUUUGGCAAGCUAGGGUUCCAACAAAAUCAAUUCUAGAAGAUAAAAAUCCAUCUAAAGGGAUUUACCAUGAAAGCUCUCAAAGCUUACCUCAAGAAACUUGCUCUAAUGGUGGAGAGGAAGAAGAGGAAGAUGCCAAUCCUUCUUCUUGCUUGCUCAUCCACCAAAAUCCCCUCAUUCUUCACCCUCUAGAGAGAGAAAAAGGAGUUUAGAGAGAGAGAAAGGGAGCUAGGGGUGAGGUUGGGAGAGAAAUGAGAAGAAGAGGGCUCAUUUCCCCUCUAUACCCCUUCACAAGUGCACAUUUGCACAAAACACCCCUCACUUUCCAAGUUACACACUGGCCCAGCCUGGGCAGUUUCUGGCUACGGGGACUGGUCUGUCCUUGGAGGGACCGGUCCCUGAGAGCAACUUUUGCGGGCAGAGCUUUUCUGCCAAUUUCUACGUGUACGGGGACCGGUCUGUCCCGCCAGGGACCGGUCCCCGAGAGCAAAUAUUGUGCGCAGAGUUUUCUCUGCCGCACCCCUGCUUACGGGAACCUGUCCCUCACACCAGGGACCGGUCCCCGAGAGCAAAAUUCUGCAACUCCGAGGCCCUCAUACUUCUGCAGAAUUUUGCAAAAUUCUGAAAAAUUUUGCAAAAUUUUGCAAAAUUCUGCAGAAUUUUCCUACUUCGCUCUCCGAGGCCCUCCUCGAUGCACUUUUUGAAUUUUUGACGCCUUCGGCCUUUCCGAAGCGUACCCAAUCGACAAUCAGUCGAUUCUAAACGAAGUUCAACUCUCGCAUUUUGAGAAUUCACUUCCUUACACCUUCGGCCACUAUUCCAGAAGGAAGAGCCGAAGAAACACCUCCGGCUGAUGUCCCAAAGCAAGACUCUGUUCUUAGUGAGCCCAUUGAAAUUGAGAUAAAUCAAUUUAGUUAGCCAUUUAACUUGUUUUGUUUUCAACUUAUUUACUUAUUCUUUUUCCAAUAAACUAGUCUUCUCUUGAAAACAAUUCAAGAGUCCGUUUUGCUUUUUCUUUGAAGACGCAGAUUAGUAGACAAGUUCGUCGGGAGACUCGUCUUGAGAAAAAGCAAGAAGUGGAGAGAAAAAGGGGUGCUCGAGAAAUAAGCAAAGAUUUGCCGACAAGUGAUGCGGCACCAUCCUUAUCUACUCCAGUACCAACAACAGAGAGGGAAGAUGCAAGCACACCUUUUAAAAAAGGUGCUGAGGGAGCAAGCACAGUGCCUCACUCGAUUCCUGAAACCUCAUCCUCUGCUCCUGAAGACCCCCUGUUUGCCAUUCUUCACUCUCUAUUAGUUUCGAGCCCUAAUUCUAAUGAAGGAGACGACUCGACUACUAUUAUGAUGUCUACAGACUCUCAACAAAAAUUUGGUGAGUGUCUACGAUUAUAUAGUCAAGGCAUUCCAUCAUUGGCUCAAAAUUCAGAACAAUUCGAUCGAUUGUGUGCUUUUUUUUUGAUUUAGCCGAUCAGCCAGACAUUUCUUCUGUUGGCAAAUGUUUUGUAAAGUAUUAUCAUCUCAACUUUCUUCUUUCUUAUCUCGGCAACAAUCUUUGGGUGCCGAGCUUUUAUCUUUGGAUCAACAUUUCCACAAAGUUGAUCAUUUUAAAAAGGCUAUACCUGAGAUAGCAGCUUCAAUAACUGACACAAGCCGAGAAGAUCAACUUUUGGAAAAUCAGGAUCAGCCCUGCAGCAGCGGAUUUUCACUCUCAAAGAAGAAUUAGCUGCGGCUGAAUUGACUUUGGCUCGCACCUCUGAACGUCGGUUCCAACUGCAAGAUCAAUUGAAGAUGAAGAAAAGUGAAGGGAUGAAACUUCAAGAAAAAACUUUCCCAACUUUACAAAGUGCAUCCCUUGAUGAAACGCAGGAGAAAGGCCGUUGAAACUGCCUAAGCCAAUUUAAUAACCGAAUGGAACCAGCUCAAGGAUUUACUAUCUUGAUUUGGCUUGUAAUACCUUAACUCUAACUUUGAUUAUUCUCCCACAUGGAUGGGUAAUACUUCUUCAGAUAUUUUUUAUUGAUCGGCUUCUUAUUUUCUAACCCAUCUAUGUUUUUUAAGUAAUAUGCAUUUCCCUUUGUGACUCUGCUUAUUUGAAAUGGUCCUUCCCAACUCGGAGACCAUUUUCCAUAUGCUCGGUCUUUUUGACCGAUUGGAAAUAUUAGUCUAAGAACUAAAUCACCAAUUGCAAAUGAUUUAGCUCUAACUUUUUUAUUAUAUGCAUUGCGUACUCGGCUUUGAUAAGCUUGCAAAUGGUUCAAUGCCAUCAACCGAGUUUCAUGUAUUUCUUCUAUUUCUUCAUUCAUCAAAUCACUAUAUUCAUCAACCGAUAGUUCUUUUUGCUUUUCCACUCUUAAAGAAGGAACUGUUAUUUCGGCUGGUACCACGGCCUCGUGGCCGUAUACUAAUUGAAACGGUGUCGUCCCCGUUGUCGUUUUCACUGAAGUUCGGCAUGCCCAUGGUAUUUUGUAUAGUUUUUCAUUCUAUUUUCUUGGAUAUUUUCCAAUAUGCCGCUUCAUAAGAUUUAUAAUUAGCUUAUUUGUUGCCUCGGUUUGUCCAUUGGCUUGAGCAUAAUAAGGUGACAAAUGGAGUAGCUUAAUCUUUCGAGAUUCGACGAACCGAACAAACUGUCCUCCUGUGAACAUUGUUCCUUGAUCGGUUGUAAUCGUCUCGGGAACUCCAAAAUGAUGAAUUAUAGAAUCUUCAACAAAAUUAAUGAUUUCUUUUUGAGUGACCAACCGAGCGGGUUUUACUUCUACCCACUCAGUAAAAUAAUCAACGGCCACUAUUAAAAACUUAUGACCAGCUGAAGAAUUCGGCUGAAUUUCUCCGAUUAAAUCCAUAGCCCAUCCUCGAAAAGGCCAUGAUUUAAUUAUAGCAUACAUCUCAGAGGUAAGAACUCUUUGUACUGAGUCAUGAAAUUGACAAUCUUUGCAAUCUUUAGCAUAUUUUAUGCAAUCAUGAUGCAUAGUCUGCCAAUAAUAUCCUAAAUGCCGAAUUGUCCAUCUUAAUCCUUUCCCUGCCAAAUGGGCUCCACACAAACCUUCAUGUGUUUCUCCCAUCACUAAUAGAGCUUCUUCGAGUCCUAAACAUUUCAAUAGUACUUCUUCGGCUGUUCUUUUGUAAAGUUGUCCAUUCAACAGACAAUAGCCGAGUGCUCUUCUUCGAAUAUUAUAAUCGGCCCGUUUAUUGGAGUCUUCUAAAUAUUCGAUUAUGGAUUUUCUCCAAUCCAAUCUUUUUUCACCCCUAUGGGGGCAAUAAUCGGCUCUCGAAUAUGAAUCGAAGGUAACAAUCUGCACUCUAUUUUUACUAGACUCCUCUCCAGCUCUCUAUACCCUGAAGCCGAUUGGGCUAAUGCAUUAGCCUUUUCGUUUUCUUCUCUUGCUAAGUGCUUAAACUCAACCUCUCCAUAAUUACAAAGUAAUUCUAUCGUCUUUUGCAAAUAGUUUUGCAAAUUUCGGUUUUCACAUCGGUAUUCUCCAUUGACUUGUUUAAUCACUAAUUGUGAAUCACCGAUGACCUUGAGUUAGUGAACUCCUAAUUCUUGUAAAAUUUCAAGGCCAAUUAUUAAAUCCUCGUAUUCGGCUUGAUUAUUAGAACAGCCAAAAUCUAAUUCAAAAACAAAUCGAUAGGUAUAUCCCUCAGCAAAUCGAUAGGUAUAUCCCUCAGGAGACUGUAUUACUACUUCAGCUCUCGCUGAUACGGCUGUUCUUGAGCCAACAAAUUAAAGUAUCUAAUGUUGACAGCCGAUCAAAUUUUGCUUUGGCUCUUCAAUUUCAACAUAUGGGUAAUCAGCCAGAAAAUCAGCUAUUGCUUGUCCUUUAACAGCUUUUGCUGGAACAUAAUUAAUAGAAAAUUCAGACAAAGCCAAUAUCUAUUUUUCGAUUCGACCUCUUAAUACUGGCUUGGAUAACAUAUAUUUUACUAAGUCGGGUUUACAUAUUACCGACACUUCGGUUGGUAAAAUAUAAUACUUCAAUUUUGUACAGGCAUAAUAUAAAGCUAAACAUAGUUUUUCAACUGCCGAGUAUCAUUUUUCGGCAUCUAAUAAUCGCCUGCUGAAGUAAUAUAUGGCAUGUUCCUCUUUUUCUUCAUUCACUUGGGCCAACAAGCAUCCUAAAUUUUCCUCUCCAACCGAAAUAUAUAGUUUCAUCGGUUGUCCUUGCUUAUGAGGCAUAAGGACCGGAAGAUUUGAUAAAUAUUUCUUUAUAUUUUCAAAAGCUCCUUGUUGUUUCUCUACCAAAAUAAAUUCUUCUUUACUUUUAAGCCGAAGUAAUGAAGUAAAAACUCCUAUUCUAUCAGCCAAAUUUUAUAUGAAUCGCCGCAGAUAAUUAAUUUUUCCCAAUAAACUCUGUAAUUCUUUUUUACUCUUUGGUGGCGGCAAUUCUAAUAUAGCUUUCGCUUUGUUUUUAUCGACCUCGAUCCCUUUUUUAUGCACUAAGAAUUUCAGAAAAUUUUCUGUAGAAACUCCAAAGGCACACUUCAAAGGGUUCAUUUUUAAAUUAUAUUUUCUCUUUCUUUCAAAGGCGAGUUUUAAAUUCGCCCAAUGUUUGGCUUGUGAUUUAGAUUUUAUAACUAUAUUAUCGAUAUAAACCUCCAACAUUUUGCUGAUUAAAUCAUGAAAAAUAAAAUUCAUUGCUCUCUGAUAGGUAUCUCCGGCAUUUUUUAAACCGAACGGCAUGACCAUCCACUCAAAGGUCCCAAUAGACCCUGGGCAUCUAAAAGUCGUUUUAGCUACAUCUUCUUCAGCAAUAUAAAUCUGAUUGUAACCUGCAUGUCCGUCCGUAAAGAACAAGAUUUCAUUACCGGCAGCCGAAUCCACUAACAUAUCGGUUAUUGGCGUUGGAUACUCAUCCUUAGGUGUAGCCAAAUUUAAGUUCCUAAAAUCAAUGCAAACUCUAAGUUUACCAUUCUUUUUACAUACAGGAACUAUAUUAGAUACCCAAUCGACAUAACAGGCUGCUCUAAUAAAACCGGCCUUCAAAAGAUUUUUAAUUUCGUUCUUAAUUUGAAGUACAAUAUUCGGCUCAAACCUACGAGCUGGCUAUUUGUAAGGCUUAUAUCCCUUUUUAAUAGGUAGCCUAUAUUCUAUAAUUUUUUGGUUUGAACCUAGCAUUUCUUUAUAGCUCCAGGCAAAGCAGUCCUUGUACUCCAACAGCAAUACUUUCAGCUCCUCCUGUUGUUGAGCCGAAAGUUUAGCACUAAUGUAGGUCGGUCUAUUGUCUUCAUCAGAUCCCAAGUUUACUUCUAUUAAUGGAUCUUGAGUUUCUAGCUUCUUGUCAUCGACUUUAAUAGGCGAUUCCUCCAUAUUCAACUCGUUUGUUGGCCUCCUUAAUUCAUCUGGUCUUUCUUCAUUAGCAUUCAUUGCCAAUUUCAAUACUUCCUUAUCGACCUCCACAACCGAUUUUGAAAACUCAUUAUCGGCCACCUUGGCCGCCUUGCUAAAUGUUAAAUCAUCGGCUUGAUUGGCCGAAUUACUUUAAUAACCGAUCUCGUUGAUUGGCUCAUUCAGCCGAAGCUCUUCUAAAGCUUCGGUUCCUGAUCUCUGAUAUUCCAUUUUAUCUAGUUUGGUGGCUCUUCGGCUGCCACCAUAGCUCCUUCGUCUUUAGAGAGAAUUAAUUGUACUCCCUCUUCAGUAACUCUUAUAAAAGAAAUUUGGUCCGGAUCAGCAUCGGCCCAAUUAAUAUGGCCGAUUUCUUCUGCAUUGAUGUCCACCAUUUAGGGCCAACCUUCAGCCCUGAUUUCUUCUACUCUUUCUCCAACCCACUGGAAUAACUUUCCAUGGAGUGUAGAAGGUAUGCAUUCGUUUAUGUGUAUCCAGUCACACCCGAGUAGCAGGUUGUAAUAACUAUCUCCAUCUACUACAGAAAAUGCAGUGCGUAGAGUUUUAGAACCUAUCGUUAUCUCAGUUGUGACUACCCCUCUAGCUUGUUGACUGCUUCCAGUAAAGUUGGUCAUGAUUGUAUCGAUGGGCUUCAAUUCAUCUUCAUUCUUGCCCAAUUUCUUAAGAAUGAAGUGGGCAUAACAUUGACCAUUGCUCAACUGUCUACCAUGACUCGACCUACGGGUCGUCCUUCUAUCAAAGCCCGUAUGAACAAAGGCCUCACAAAUCUUGUCUGCAUGACCGAUGGUUUCUCAAAAACCACUGCAUCGUCCGACUUGGCAACUUCUUCGUCUACCAUCUUCUCGUACUUAAUAUACUCUGUCUUGAAAGAUUGUGGCAGAGAAUAUACCAUAUUGACAUCGACUGGUCCUUCAUCAGCCGAUUUUCCUUGUAUUCUUUGUUUCUUCUCUUCAAACUCCUUUGCCGUCUCGGCUGAGGAGUCACUUUCCAUCCGUGCCUCCCUCUCCUUAGGAGGCCAUCUCUCUCGCUUGAUGAUUGUCUCGAGGGAAGCUAUUUUUUCUUCUAAUUCCCUUCGGUAACCUUCUUCUCUGGUUCGACCGUGAUUGGCCGUUCUAUCUUUGAUUUUAACCAAGGGAGGGUGAUGAACCACCCAUCUCAUGAUCAUUCUUCAUUGGACGAAAAGGGUGUGGUAGCUUAUUGGGUCGUCUCCACAUGUUCAGCUUCAUCCCUUUUGCCUCCUCAUAGUGGUGUCUUACCUCAGCUUGCAUCCUCUGCUGCCGACGCUUUUGUGUUUUCGUUAACAUCGGCCCUUGCUACUUGGCCGAUGGUCUAACCUCAUGCCAUUGAUCAACCGGCACAUUUACCCGUACUUUAACCGUUCUCAAAUGAUUCUUCAAAAUUUCUCUCCUUUCCCAGGGUCUUGACCAGGGCUUAUGCCGAGCUCGUUGACUAGUCUCCGACCGAGGAGCUCUAUAUCCCUUUCAGUCAUUCCUUCGAACUCUGGUUCUGGUCUCGGCCUGGCUUGAUGCUGCCAAUGUGGCCAAUACCCAGGGAAUCUCUGUUUCGAGCCGAAUGGUUUAUCUGGGUAACUCCAUCACCUGUUAUGUUCUUCUUUCCUGCUAUUGUAAUAAUCAUACAGGACUUUCUGCAUUAAUAAAUUCUUCUUGUUUUGAACCGAAUCAAUGUCCGGUUAAGAUUCAUUGGAGGCUUCGUCUGAGCCAUCCUCUGAUUGAUCAUCUCUUUCGAGAAUCUCCUCCCAUUCUUCGGGGAACGCCAUUAAUUCUCUCCAUUCAUUACUCCUCUUCUUCUCGUUGAUUACGGCUUCCAAAUCUUUCUUUGUCAUUUCGACUUUACACCUUAUGCAGAUCCGAAGAGUUCUCUUGACAUAGGCAACGUGCUCAGCGGUCUUCUUGUCCGCGACUGCCUUUCCCAUGACGUCCACCAUAUUUACCUGCGAUGAAAAUGAAUUCUUGUCAAUUUUUAUAUUUUUAUUCUAUUGAUCGGCAAAUAUGAGCCGACCCUUAUUUAUUUUUUUUGAAUCUGUCUUUUAAAGGCAGUACAUUCAUUCGUUUUAUGGCUCCACGAAUGGUGCCAUUUACAGUAUUUUCUUCUUUUUAAUUCUUCUCCAGAGGGUAUGGUUUCACCCUCCUGUAAGUGAAUCCGUCCAUCUUUUAAUAACCGUAAUUAGAUCGGUCUUUGAAACGUCAAAAGAAUAAGUAUAUGCCGAAACCCGUGCUUUUGCCUCGCUUGAUUUAGAUGGCUUCAACAAAGUAUAUUUAUAUGGUUGACGGUUUCUAACCAUCUCAGCAGCAUAUAUUUCGGCUUCACCAGCCGAAUCCUCGAUCUCUUCAGAUGAAUUCGUCUCCUCAUAAGCCGACGAUUCUUCAAGGAAAAAAAUGUUUUUCUCUUUUUCUUUGUUCCACUCUUUAUUUCGGCUCUAUCUGGGCCGAUUCUCACUAUUUUCCUUUCGGAAUUGCUCGUAUUAAGCAAUCCGAACUCCCAAAUCAAAAAGAUUUGGAAAGUAUUUAUCUUCAAAAUGAUCUUUAAUUUUGAAGUGUAAGCCGUUGAAUGCCAUUUUGGCAAAUUCUGACUCUGGCAUCCUGACGAAACAACGGCCCGUGGUCGUUUUAAAUCGGUUCAAGUAUUCUUCACCGAUUCGCCCGUCCUCUGUUUAAACUGAGCCAGAUCAGCUACUGACAAUUUCGGUUCUGAUCUAUAAAAUUGUUCAUGAAAUUUUCCUUCUAAUUCGUCCCAAUCUCGGACGGAAUUAGCCGGUAAACACGUAUACCAAGUAAAAGCCGUCUUGGUUAACGAAGUGUUAAAUAACCUCAAUUUUAAAAAUAGAUCUGCCGCGACUUCUCGGCAUUGUGCUGUAAACCGUGCAACAUGUUCAACCGUGUUUUCGGUCUCAUCACCGAAAAAUUUGUCAAAUUUCGGCAUUUUUCAAUUUGUCGGGUAUGGAUGCUCUGCGUCUAUAUUCGCAGGAUGGGGUGAUCUAAAUACAGGUCGCAUUGUCGGCCUUGCACCUACUCCGAAAGUAUUUCGGAUGAAUUCUUCUAUUUGUGCAUAGAUUUCAUUAUUGUUCCCCUGUAAGGGAACUUGUGCUUGUACUUGUGCUAUAUUUGGUCCUUGUGGUAGACCGAAAUUUUGUACCACAGGGUUGAUCCCUUGUACAUUUGGGGCCUUCCCCCUAGCCCUAGCCCCUACAUUUUGGGGCUGAUAUACAGUUACUGGUUGAGGAGGUGGUAACCCCCAUGCUAUGUCUGGCAGUUGACCGGCAUUAACAACAGCCGGUCUAUAAGCCGCUUAAAAUUAUGUCCCCAGGUGUUGGGGCUGACCAUUUGCCGGUGUUAUAGGAUUUUAUAACACUGGCGUCAUCACAGGCCCUUGUAAGCCUGUUGCUGGUUGCUCGUUUCGAGUCAACAAUUGCCCUAUUCGGGCAAUAUUCUUAUUUGAGGCCGUGGUUGCGACCAAUACUGCAUCUAAACGUGUAGUGCUUCUAUGACUAUUUUGGUCUAAAACUUGUAGGACUCGAGUCAUUUGUCCAAGCGUCUGAGCCAAACUAGGCUCCUGUUGGUCGGAUUGCCCACUAGUCUCACCCUCGGCAGGUAAGACUGCUUAACGCUCUCCAGCGUUAUCUGAAUUGCUGGAUAGUUGAUCGCUCCUAGAACUUCUAGGAACGACCCUAUUGCGCACGUUCAUGGCAUUAUCAUCAGCCAUUAUAUCUUAGUAAAGAGUAAAAUUACCUUGAAUGGUCCCACCGGGUGAGCCAAAAAUUAUUGGUAGCUGAACUCUCCCUUCUUUGACCUUGUCAAAGAUCUUCCUCGGGAAUGAUGCCGGGAUGUGACACGGCUAUGAUUAAUGACCCUCGAAAUUUGCGCCCUUCGACUAGAUCAAACGAUUCGGCUGAUGAGGGAUCGGAUCAGCUGAGUUUGGAAUCUCUAAUAGAAACUCGGUUAGGCUGGAAGAGCCGAAUGUACGGAAUGUGCAGAAUCUAAAGUCGGCCGAAGAGCCGAAUGGAUGAGAGAACACAGAAAUUGGUCUGCUUAAAGAGCCGAAAACCUUUAAAAUAUAUUUGAAAUUACUCUCGAGGGAAAGUACAAGGGUUGAGUGUGACUGAGGGCAUACAUACUCGGUUGAUUUAUUCUAAUUCUACUCCUAGGAAAAACAGUAAAUGCUGAAAAUUAAAGGGUUACAAGUAGACUACUAAGAAAUGCGAAAAAUUGCAAGGAAAUAAGAGUGAUCUUCAGUUCACGGGAAAAAGAUCACUUUUUAGGGCAUUAUUGGCCUAUUUAUAUAACGCCCCUCUUGAUCAAUUAUUACCUAUCCAUGAUCGGCCACUAUUCCCUAAUUUUUCGGGCCACUUCCAGCCGAUCGGAACCGCUUGCAACUGCUCGCGGUUGCUCUAACUUCCCUUAAUUCACGCGGGUUCACUUUUUGAUGCUCCCGGUGCACAGCAGAAACAUUACUUUCUUUUAAACAAAACCGCUAUGGUGUAUCGGGUACUACGUGUCUGCGCCUUAUUGGCCCAACACCUCUAUAGUAAGCCGUCUAUCUCAUCUUUAUAUCAUCUGAUUCAUCAGAAUCGGUUCUCAUCAUAAAAAAUAUUUAUUUUUCUUGAUAUAUGUAACGGUGGAACUAUGAGAGAAGGAGAGCAGAAGAGAUUAAGAUGACAAAUUAAAUCCAUCCCUAUCGAAUAAAAGCAGCCGAGUUAGAUUUAGUAGUAAUCGGGUGGUCAGACUAUCGGCUCGGGUAAAAGGGCGAUGUUUAGAUCCGAACCGGACUCUAGGUUGCCAACAAAUAGGGCCGUCCACAGUGGGGCUGGACGAAGAUCGGCCCAUAUUGCCUCGGAUCCUUUUUUAGAUUUUUUUUCAAUUUUAUACAUAAUAUUUUUAUUUUUAUUUUUCAAAUAAUUGUUUUUAAUUGGACAGACAUUUGGAGAGAUGUUCCAAAAGCAACAAAUUUUUUUUCUUUUUCGCUUCCAAUGUGGCCAUAAAAUGUACAUUUUUUUAAAGUCAAUUUUUUAUUUUAAUUCAAAAUUUUAAAAUGAGUUUAAAAGUUUAUAUUAAAAUAUGAAAAAAUUUUAAAUGUUCUUACAGAUAAAAAGUUGAAAAGAAUUUAUACACUUUAUUUGUCAAAUUAAACUGCUCUAUUCCAAUGGAUUCGCGGCGUCCCCCACUUUGCCCCCGCAAACGAAAGUACUGACGGAUAACUUGAAUAUCGAACUGCUCUGUACCAAAUUGUUAGAAUAUUUUUCCUCCUAAUUAUAGUUUUGAUACCAUUAGAUAGAUUCUUGCUUAUGGUCCUCAUUCACGAUCUGCAAAAGAACGGAACAUUUCGAGUCUAAUUCUUUUAUCCCCGGAGAUGGAGCCGUCACAGUAAUUAGGAUUAGGAUUAGACCGGGACUCUCGUGUGUUAUAUAUUUAUAUAUAACUUGAUAUAAAGAUGUUCAAUCAUGUAUUUUCAUCAAGGACGUGUCUAGAUACAUUCUAGCCGUUAGAUCUACUGUAUCUUUAUAGAUUGACUUGAAUAGACCGAUUGUAUCUUUAUAAAUCGUUUUGAGUAAAUCACAUGGGCCACAUCUAUAUUCUCUCACUUGGCCUAGUGAUAUAUUCAUACCAUAUAGUAGAUACAAAACUUUAUUAGGUAUCAACUAAAUUAUACAGUCAAGGCAUGUUUGGUUUGCUUCUUUUUCACCUAAAAUUGGAAGCGAAAUGGAUGAAUCCGUUUGUGGGCGUUUGGUAUGCGGAAGUCCCAUUUCGAUUCCGAUUCUUGAGUGGAAUGGGACUCUCCCAAUCACCUCUUUUUCCAAUCCGGCCUAGGAGGCCGGAUUGGAAGUUGAAUUCGGACGGAAUGAAUAUUUAUUCGGAUUAAAUUUAUUUUUUCAACUUUUUUAAUUAAAAUAUGAGUUUAAAUUUAGAAAUUAAAAUUAAAAUUUUAAAUUUGAAUUUGAAUUUGAAUUAAAAAUUAAAAUUUAAUCAAGUAUUUUGAAUCAAACUUAUAAAUUUGAAUUUAAAUUAAAAUUUAAUUUAUAUAAAGUUUUAUUCAAAUUUUAUUUAAAAUUUAAAUUAAAUUUAUAGAUUCAAAUUAAAUUUUAAAUUGUAAUUUUAAGUUUGAAUUUGAAUAUAUCGAAAUUUAGGACAAAAAUUUUAUGGGCAUAGGACCCAAACUAAUUAGUUUGGGGACUAUGCGGAUCGGCGCCACGUGGCCGAUGGCCAUGUUUCUCAAUUGCUUUUGCUCUCUCUCUCUAUAAACACAGGAUUUUUUUUUUUCUUUCCAUCCGUGGCCGUCGGAUCGGCCACGUGGCGCCAAUCCGCAUAAUACCCAAACUAAUUAGUUUGGAAAUUAUGCCUAUAAAAUUUUUGUCCUCCCAACAAUGCUGUUCUUUUAAAUUAUCCACUCAACUUUAAAGUUUAAUUUUUAAAAAAAAAUUGAUUUAAAAUUUUGACAUUAUUUUAAAAUUUUGAUGUAAAUUUUUAAUAUUUAAUUUUCAAUUUGAAUUUAAAUUAAUAUAUUAUAAAGAUAAAGUUAGUAUAUUAAUUUGAUUACGUUUUUUAUAUCUACCUGAACCAAACACCGACAAUGGAAAUAAUUUAUUCCGAUUCCGAUUCAGGUAAUGAACCAAACAGAAUUAGGUAAUGAGUCAUUCCGAUUUAGAUUUCAGCUUAUUUCGAUUCCGAUUAUGAUUCCGAUUCCAACUUUGAACCAAACGCGCCCUCAAAGUCUUCCACUCAACCAAAAAAUCACAAUACUUUGAUCCGAGUGAUUAUAUUCCAAAAGAAGAACACUACCUUUCAUAUAUUAAAAACACGUAUUCGUUAAUCAAAUAACUUUAUGAGUUAAAAUAGUAUGAACUUAUUAUAAGUUCAACUCAAAGUCCCACUUUAGUUCACAAUAAUACUUUAUGCACAUAUGUGUAAAAACCAAAAUGUGUUCUUACUCAAAUAAAAAUAGUUCUUAAUGUUUUUAUACAAGAAGAAAAAUACUUAAACUGUAAAUAAACUCAAGAUACCCAUAUGAUUAACAUGAUUCUUGAACUUGUUUGAUAGUGAUGGUUUAGUCAUAGGAUCAGCAAUAAUCAUUUCGCUCCCAGCAAGAUACAUUGUAUUGAUAUGUUUGCUGCGAUCUAUAAUUCGACUAUUCUUGACACAAAACACUGCAGCAAAAUUGUUGCAAUGAAUUUUAAUUGGCUUUGAGAUAGAAUUGACAGCUCUUAAACGUGAGAUACAAUUUCUCAGCCAUCAAGCCUAUGACGAAGCCUCAUAAUAAGCGAUGAGCUCUAUCUCCAUAAUGGAUGUAGCAACUAUAUCUUACUUUGUGCUCAUUCAAGAUAUUGCACCUUGAGUAAGAAAGAAAAUAUAUUCUGAUGUAGACUUUCUAGAAUUCACACAUCCAAUAAAAUCAGAGUGCGAAUAUCCAACCACCUCAAAAAAAUUUUUGCAGCUUUCCAAUGUUUAAGACUAGAGUUGCUUUGGUAUCUACCCAGCAUCCCCACUGCAUGAGCUAUAUCAAGUCUGGUACAAACCUGCGCAUACAUCAAGCUUCCUACUGCAGAGGCAUAGGGUAUGCUCUUCAUAUACUGUCGUUUAAAUCAUUCAGUGGGCACUGUUUCUGAUUGAACCUAUCACCUUUUACAAUAGGUACAGCUGUAGGUGCACAGUUUGCCAUAUUAAAUUUUUCUAAAACUUUUUUAAUGUAUUUCUGAUAUUGACCCAAAAUCUUUUGAGAUCUAUUUCUAAAAAUCUUUAUGCCAAUGACAUAAGAAGUUUCACCCAAAUCCUUCAUCUCAAUGUUCUUAGAAAGAAAUUCUUUGGUCUCUUUAAGAAAACAUAAAUUACUACUUGCAAGCAGAAUGUCAUCUACAUGUGGGAUUAAAAAAAUAUACUUACUCCCAUUAACCUUAAGGUAUAUGCAGUGGUCCACAAUAUUUUCUACAAAAUCGAAUAUAGUAAUUAUAUUAUGAAACUUGAUAUAUCACUGAUGGGAAGCAUGUUUAAGUCCGUAUAUAGAUUUCUUUAAUCUGCAAAUAAAAUGAUUAUUUUCAUCUAUACUAAUACCUUCGGACUUGCAUAUAGAAUAUCUUCUCUAUUUUCCCAUUUAGAAAUACAACUUUCACAUCCAUCUAAUGUAGCUCCUGUUGGAUUUUAUUGGAUUUUUGGUUAUUUAAAACUUGUUAGGCCUCUUAGACAGCCCAAUACUUAAUAGGCCUUGCCUGGAAACCCAACUAAAAUUUUCAUAUGUGAGAUUUAGUCCCACAUUGGAAACUACAAGGGUGUUGCUGGUAUUUAUAUAUCCCUUUAUUCUCAAGCUAGUUGCAUGGGAGAAAAUGAGAGUUAUACUAUCGUUUAAACACACGCACGCACGGCACGAGCCCGAGCCAAGCCGAUUUUCGCAAAACCCUAUCUUCUACAUCGUUUUUUCUGCUUUCUCACGAUUGAUCUUUUGCGCCGACUUUCGCCAAGCUUUCUCAUAUUUUGCUGGAUCUGAAGCUUGUUGGGUUCGUUUUGCGCCACCUCGAAAGCGUGUCGACGGGGUGGAACGUGGUCAUUGUAUCGCUGGAAGUAAUUGUAGGGAAGUCUUGCCCGUAGAGGGACAAUUUCGCUUCUAGUACAGUGCUCUACACGCCUCGAUCCACAGACCUUCUCUAAUCCUUUCCUUUACAAUAUUUGUUAUUUAAUUUCUUUCUCGAAAUUUUUCUAAAACUGAAAUUAAGUUUCAAAUUAUUUUUAAAGAAUAUUUUAAUAAAAGAUCAGAAAGAUUUUUCAACAAUUUAGAAGCGAAAUAUUUAAUUUAAUCUUUCUGUUUCUUUUAUUAUACUAAUUAAAAUAUUUCUUCUCUACAAAUCAAUAUAUAUAUGUCACGCCCCGGGGCCCCUUUUUAGUUUAAAGCAUAGCGGAAAAGCGUCUGAAAUUUUUUUUUUUUUUUUUUUCGAAAACCUGACCCCAGGGUAUGCCAGAUCCGCCACAAAUANNNNNNNNNNNNNNNNNNNNNNNNNNNNNNNNNNNNNNNNNNNNNNNNNNNNNNNNNNNNNNNNNNNNNNNNNNNNNNNNNNNNNNNNNNNNNNNNNNNNNNNNNNNNNNNNNNNNNNNNNNNNNNNNNNNNNNNNNNNNNNNNNNNNNNNNNNNNNNNNNNNNNNNNNNNNNNNNNNNNNNNNNNNNNNNNNNNNNNNNNNNNNNNNNNNNNNNNNNNNNNNNNNNNNNNNNNNNNNNNNNNNNNNNNNNNNNNNNNNNNNNNNNNNNNNNNNNNNNNNNNNNNNNNNNNNNNNNNNNNNNNNNNNNNNNNNNNNNNNNNNNNNNNNNNNNNNNNNNNNNNNNNNNNNNNNNNNNNNNNNNNNNNNNNNNNNNNNNNNNNNNNNNNNNNNNNNNNNNNNNNNNNNNNNNNNNNNNNNNNNNNNNNNNNNNNNNNNNNNNNNNNNNNNNNNNNNNNNNNNNNNNNNNNNNNNNNNNNNNNNNNNNNNNNNNNNNNNNNNNNNNNNNNNNNNNNNNNNNNNNNNNNNNNNNNNNNNNNNNNNNNNNNNNNNNNNNNNNNNNNNNNNNNNNNNNNNNNNNNNNNNNNNNNNNNNNNNNNNNNNNNNNNNNNNNNNNNNNNNNNNNNNNNNNNNNNNNNNNNNNNNNNNNNNNNNNNNNNNNNNNNNNNNNNNNNNNNNNNNNNNNNNNNNNNNNNNNNNNNNNNNNNNNNNNNNNNNNNNNNNNNNNNNNNNNNNNNNNNNNNNNNNNNNNNNNNNNNNNNNNNNNNNNNNNNNNNNNNNNNNNNNNNNNNNNNNNNNNNNNNNNNNNNNNNNNNNNNNNNNNNNNNNNNNNNNNNNNNNNNNNNNNNNNNNNNNNNNNNNNNNNNNNNNNNNNNNNNNNNNNNNNNNNNNNNNNNNNNNNNNNNNNNNNNNNNNNNNNNNNNNNNNNNNNNNNNNNNNNNNNNNNNNNNNNNNNNNNNNNNNNNNNNNNNNNNNNNNNNNNNNNNNNNNNNNNNNNNNNNNNNNNNNNNNNNNNNNNNNNNNNNNNNNNNNNNNNNNNNNNNNNNNNNNNNNNNNNNNNNNNNNNNNNNNNNNNNNNNNNNNNNNNNNNNNNNNNNNNNNNNNNNNNNNNNNNNNNNNNNNNNNNNNNNNNNNNNNNNNNNNNNNNNNNNNNNNNNNNNNNNNNNNNNNNNNNNNNNNNNNNNNNNNNNNNNNNNNNNNNNNNNNNNNNNNNNNNNNNNNNNNNNNNNNNNNNNNNNNNNNNNNNNNNNNNNNNNNNNNNNNNNNNNNNNNNNNNNNNNNNNNNNNNNNNNNNNNNNNNNNNNNNNNNNNNNNNNNNNNNNNNNNNNNNNNNNNNNNNNNNNNNNNNNNNNNNNNNNNNNNNNNNNNNNNNNNNNNNNNNNNNNNNNNNNNNNNNNNNNNNNNNNNNNNNNNNNNNNNNNNNNNNNNNNNNNNNNNNNNNNNNNNNNNNNNNNNAAUUAUGCUACUAUACUAUCAAUAGUACCAAGCCCUUAGUACUAUUGAGUUUUCGGCCGUUGGAUGAAAAGAUGUGCAGUUAGGAUGAUAGUGGUCUCCGGUUAAAUUGAAAGUGGUUCCCUAGGGUUGAGUGGGUUGUUGGUUUAAUAAUAUAAUCUAACGGGUGGAAAUGAUCAAAGGGUAAAUCUAACGGUAGAAAACUCAAUAGUACCAAGGGCUUGGUACUAUCAAUAGUAUAGUAGCCGGACUCUCUCUCUCUCUCUCUCUCUCUCUAUAUAUAUAUAUAUAUAUAUAUAUAUAUAUAUAUAUGUUUUUUUAUAGUUCUAGUGCUAGCAAAGUCCAUCUGAUCCACGACAUAUAUAUUGGUUGAACAGUACCAUAACUUAAAUCAGUGUGCUCGCCGGCUGUAUUUGUGCGUAAUUAAUUAGAUGAUAUAUAUCAUCAAUAGAUAGUGAUAUUAUUAUAAUAUUACUAAUGGAAUUUUGUUGGGUNUGGGUGAUACUUGUGUGUUUUUAGCCCUUGGAUGGAGAGAUGUGAGGUUGAGAUGAUGGUGGUAGGUGGUCGUAGGUGGUGGUAGGUGGAAUAGUGUUUAAUUCAAGGGCUAUUAAUAAUCAAAAAGUAGAUCCAAUGGCUUAAAACCUAAUAGCACAAUGAUGGUGAUACUUGUAAAAGUAUCAUAGCUCAACUCUAUAUAUAUAUAUAUAUAUAUAUAUAUAUAUAUGGGGCAAUUGCUUAUAUACUCCUGAAAAGUUUUUGACUUUCCGAUCCCCUCUUAGAAGGCUAAUAUUGAAAAUACCUUUUCUACGUUCCAACAUAUUUCUAAUAUACCCCUAGAGUUAAAAUCUGUUAAUGAACUCUGUUAUCUCUGUAAAAUUACUAUUUUGCCCUUUCAAAUAUACCCUUCUACCAUCACUGACUUUCUUAUUUGCUCUUAAAGUCAGGAGUACAAAAAGUAUUUUGACUUUUGGUCAUUUUCAAUAUACCCCUCUACCGUCACCAACAUUUCUUAUUUGCCCUUAAGUUAAGAACAAAAUUGGCAUUUUAAUUUUUUUUUAACUGUGGUAGAUAUUUAACUCACGUUUAAACCAAGUUAAUUUAACAGGAGAUAACUGCGGGGAUAUUUUGUAAUAACGGUGGAACAUAUGAGGGGUAUUUUAGAAAGAAGAAAAAAGUAGGGGUAAAUCAGAUAUUUUCAAACGUAUGAGGGAUAUAUAGGCAAUUAUCCCUAUAUAUAUAGAGUUGGUCUAGAAUACUAUUGAUAGCAAAAAGUAAGUCUUUUUUGCUAUCAAGUUUUUAGCUUUCAGAUCAAUUUCUUUCAUCAUUUCUAACCAUUGGAUUAAAUAUUAUAACUCAGUGGGGACCACUCAACCGUAGGGGGACCACUCAACCCUAAGGGACUAAUAUCAUCCUAACCCUACAAUUUCUCAUCCAAGGGUAAAAACUUGAUAGCAAAAAGGGUAUUUUGCUAUCAAUAGUAUUUUAGCUCAACUCUAUAUAUAUAUAUCGUAAUCUUCCUGAGUAACACGUAGAAUAUCUUACUGUUAUUUUUCUGAAAUUCAAAACUAUUUUGUGACAUAACAGUAGGGUUAUUUGUGAACAGUUUUUUUUUUUAUUAUGGAGGAUUCGGCGAAAUCUUUUACUUUUGAUGGUCGUAAUUUAAAAGGUGGCAGAACCAAAUGAGAUUCUGGGUCACCACACUUGGGCU